UGUGGAUGUUCUUAGAUCUACAUGCGAAAGAAAAUAAAGAUGUUCAUAGAUCUACAAAAAUCAAAUGCGAAAAACAGACUGCGAACAAGAGCAAAGAUGUUCAUAGAUCUACUGAAUCAGAUGCCAAAAAAUAGUGCUGAAAUCAGAUCUGCGAAAAACAUUUUUUUUGUUUAUAGAUUUUUCAAAAAAUCAGAUGACCAAAACAGAUAGACAAAAAUUAAAUGCCCAAAAUAUCUUACUGUAUUAAACAAGCUGUUGUUUCAGAAUUUGUGGCUAAAUGAAAAAAAUAAUCCAUUCAGCAAGAAAAAAUAUACAUGGAGAUCGCAAGAAUUAAAGAUGCAGUCGAGGGAGGAGGCCGAGAUCUGGAGGCUAGGGCUGGGCGACGCCGUAGUUUGAAACUCGGACGGCGGCGGCUGGAUACGGGCUGAGCAGAGGGAGGCAGCGGCUCAUUUAUCGUCGUCGAGGAGAGAGGCGACACCGCGUUGAGCGUCGUCUAGAUAUGAGGCCGGAGUUGGUAGUUUAGGGAUCUAAGGGUUUUGGACCGCGGCUUUACCGUGAUUCGGUUGCAGGUUUUUCUCCGGCAGAGGGAGAGAGAAGACAAUAGAGAGUACGCUUGAGCUUCUCGCAGGCGGCGGCGGCGGCGAAAAGUGGAAGAAAGUCGGCAGAGGGAGAGAGAAGACAAGGGAGAGCACGUAUGAGCUUCUCACCGGCAGCGGCGAAAGGUGGAAGAAAGUGGAAGGUUUAGACUGGGAGAAGAAAUGAGCGAGAAGAAGCGGCGCUGAACCCUAAAAUUAGAUGAGCUGAGUAUUUAAGCUGUAUUUUAGGGCUGAAAAGUGUAGAUGGACUGUAUUUAAUUUAUUGGGCUGUAUUAGUAAAUACGGUAAAUCUGAAAACAUCUUUCAUCUCCGAUUUUUUGACGCUUCCACUUUUCCCACAAAACCUUUGGAAUGGUAGUGAAAUGGGGUUUCGUCGGCCCAAUUCUUUGAAAUCAGUUUUGAGUUAAUUUGUAGAAAGCAGGAUGACUACGUUAAUUAAUUUUACAAUAAAUGGUUUGCUUAUUUUAUUGCAAUAUAUAUUCAACUUCAUGAUAUAAUAUACUUAUUUCUUGUAUCUAAAAAUUACAAUAAAUAAACUAUGAUGCAUACAAUUAAAAAUAAAUAUCUAUAUAUAAUAUAUUAUUUACGAGUUAAAUGACCGGUUCCAAAAUUACAAGUUAUAUGACAUAAAAUAUUACUUGAUAAUGUUUUGUUCAUUAUAUUUGAUUGAAAAUUUCCUAUAUUUAAUGUAAAAAUUUUCGAAUAAGCUUAACAAAAUUAUGAACAUCUAAAUAAAAUAUUUGAAUUUAUUAAUAUCUGAUUGAGAAUUGUAAAAAUACUUAACAUACAACAUUUCGAACAAGCGUGCAAAAUGUUACGAAUAUCUAAAUAAAAUGUUUGAAUUUUACUUGCUUACAUUAAAUAUUUAACAUAAAAUAUUUUCAACAAACGCAAAAAAAAAUACCGAACAUCUAAAUAAAAUUUUUGAUUUUUUUUCUCACAAAAAAUAUUAAAUAUAGAACUUUUUGAAUAAGCGUAACAAAAUUAGGAACAUCUAAACAAAAUAUUCGAAUUUUUCUUAUUGACAUAAAAUAUUUUAAAUAAGCGUAAAAAAGAGAACAAUUUUUCUAAAUUCUACAAAAUUUGAUACUUAAAUAAUAUAUUUUACUUACAAUAAAUGAAAUAAAUAACAAGGCUUAUUAAAAUCAUAAAAAAUAAAAACAUAUAAAACGAAGAACAUUAAUGUUUCAGAAAACUACAUAUUUCAAUAACAAAAACAUAAUUAUGAAUAGAAAAAAGCAUAAUAAAAAAAUACAAUAAAAAUGUUAAAACUAUAUAAAAAUAAUAAUUACCUUUAUCCAUCUUCACAUAUACCAACGAUUGCAGAGUAAUUAAAGAAUUAAUUUUCUGUCAUUCUAAGAAACGUACAUACAAAAAACAAAUCGAGAUAUAAUACUUAAACAAGGUAUAACAAAGAUAUGAUUAAAACUAUCCAAAAUUAAAAAAGAUUCGGUCAAACCCAAACACUAAUAAACGGUUACAUAAAAAGAUGAUUUACCUAAUUAACCUUUUCGAAAUUAUAGUAAUUAAAAAUCAAAUUAUGUAUGAACCGUAGGAUUAUUAAGAUCUAAGGGUUAGAAUUUAUUCUCUAUUCUAAAAAAAGAUGUCAUUCUCCAUGAAUCUUCUCCCUAUAUAUAUAAUUUCAAUAACUACAAAAUACUAUCAAAAAUUAAGAAGAAAAAAAAUACUCUUUCGUUCGAUUUGUAAUGAGUUAUUCCAGAUUGUCCAAGACCGACAGCUUAAUUAUUUUUUAAUAAUACUCCAUCCGUCCCACGAAUCUUGACACGUAUUCCUUUUUAAGCCGUCCCACGAAUCUUGACACAUUUCUAAAUAAGCUAAUAAUUAUUAUCUUCUCUCUCCUAUUUUAUCACUUUUAUUAUCUUCUCUCUCUUACUUUAUCACUUUUAUAUUUUAUUAUAACUACACAUUUAAAACACUAAUCAACAACUUUUUAAUUUCCGUGCCGAAACCAAACGUGUCAAGAUUCGUGGGACAGAUGGAAUAGAUAAUAGUAUAUAUUGUAUGAGUUGGAGUUUGGGUCUCAUAUAAAUGUGUGGAGGGAAAUAAAGUGUUAUAAGGACCAUACAGCAAUAAAUAAAAAUGGAAAUGAUAUUGUGGACAGAUUAAAAUGAUAAAAAUGGAAACGAUAUCUGGACGUAGGAAGUAUGUUAGUAGAUUUUUAUAAUAUCAUCCAUAUUUUAAAAAAAUAUAUAAACUUUUCUAUUAUUAUGUAGAAAUUUAGUACUCAAUUACUUGGAUGAGAAUAUCGAAAAUGUACGUGUGCACAAUUUUUUACAAUUUUAAGAAAGAUUUACGCCUAAAAAAAAUUAAGAAAGAUUUAUAAUAAUAAAUUACUUGGAUGAUAGUUUGACAAAGUAUGCGUACAUGAAUCGUAAUUUAUAAUUUUAAAAACAAUUUAAUAUUUAUUGAGUUAGUGUUUUUAAAAAUAAAUUUAAUAUAUACUCCCUCCUAUUCUAAUUAUAUGUCGUUUUGGUGAUUUACAUUAAUUUUAUAAUAUAAGUCGUUUUGUUAUAAUAUACCACAAUUAACCUCGCUUAUUAAGUAGAUAUUAAUUGGAUAUAGAAAGAUACAAGUCAAUAAUAAGUGCAUCCAUUUUAAAUUCCACCGUUUGUUUUCUCGUGAGAUGUAUUUAACCUUAAUUAGCUGUUAUUAAUUAGGGUUAAAUUAGGUAAUUUUUUUAUUUAUUAAUAUGUGUGUCAAAGCUUAGAAAGACUUAUAUUUUGAAUAGGAGAGAGUAUAAUAUAAUAUAAUAUAUGCAUUAUAUGUUUGAAUUAAUUAAAUUACUCCUAAUUAAUAUCUCAAUUAUUAGUCCUCCGUCCACGAAAAAAAUGAAAAAGUGCUAUACUUAAGAGAUAUUCCCUCCGUCCCACUAUUGUUGUUUCUGAUGAGUAAACUCUCAACACAUCAAAGAAAAGAUAUGAAGAAGAAGAAGAAUGGAGCUAAGACCUGAGUAUCACAAAGCAGAAAAGCCAGAAUUGAACUUGUAUUGAUUUUUCAGAUAAAGAUAAUGUGUUACAAAUGACGAUGAUUCCUCUAUAUAUAAGGAUAAAUUACAAGGAGGGUAUAAAAGUAAAAUCUAUCUUCACACACUCCGCAUGUAUUCCUGGCUUCCGCACUCUAAUCGGCCUUCACAUUUCUCCUCCAACUGAUUCUACAAGCCCCAAAGCAUAACAUCAACUUGUUCCUGGUCCUCUAGUGGUCUUGGCUGAGAAGCGAGUCAACGACCUCGUAUCAUGUGGAAGAACAAUAUAAAUCUUGAUAGAAUAUAUAUAAGAUUUGGAAUGUGACCGCAGCAUUAUGAGACCGAGACCGAGUAGGUCCUCUCAAUUUUCGGACUUAAGUGCCACUAUGGCAUUUGGUAAAACCGUCCUCUCUUCUGAUUCAGGAUUCUCUCGGGGUGCCACCAUGGCACCUAGACCAUUCUCCUAUUUCAUUUAGCGGACGUUCUCAAGGUUUUUAAAUAAGAGUGCCAUCGUGGCACUAGAUCAAUGUUACCACCGUGGUCCAGGUCUUGUAAGUUUGUUACUUUCCUUAAAGUUAUGGUAUCUUGCCACCGUGGCAAGUCUCAUGACCUGUUUUUGCUCCUCAAGUUCAAUAAGAUAUCCUUUUAUCUUUUUCCACUUCUUUUCUGUAAUGAGGCCAAGAGCGCCUAAACCUGAUAUUUCUUCUCUGGCACCAUAAAACCCAUAUGAGGUUAGAUUAGAUAUUAAGGAUUUGGAGAGGACGGGCUGAUGCAGGAUUCACUCCUCAUCAGUUUCCAAAACUUUUAGGCACGACAAUUAAGAAGAAAAUGGAAAUUGGGGAAAAGUGAUAGGAUUCGCGCCUUUUAAAUGAUUAAUUAUUACUUCCUCUAUCCCGAGAAGCUUGAGCAGUAUUCCUUCUCGAGUUGUCUCGUGAAGCUUGAGCACUUUUCUUAUAUGAUAAUUUUUUUUAUAAUUCAUUUUUUCACUUUUUCACCUACCACACUUAACACACAAAAUACUAAUUCCUUAAAAUUCGUGUCGAAAAGAAAUUGCUCAAACUUGGCGGGACGGGAGAAGUAUCUUUUAUGAAAAUGAGACAACGCAAAAUGAUAAGUGAGACAAUAAUAAUGAGACAAAGAGAGUAAUUAAUCAAAAUAUAUUUGCCCGGCGGCUAUAUUUUGCCUAUUAUAAUAUAUAUAAAAUGUUAGUUAGAGCACCCACAAUGGGGGCUCAAUAGACGGUGCGAGCCCCCAUUUAUUGCACCCCUCCCCAAUGCCGCGCGUGUCUUCACGCCUGUAAAAAAAAAAUUUGCAAAAUUAAAAAUUUGAGAGCCGUUGGGGGACAGCCGUUGCUCAACGGCUGUCUCCCCUUUAUUUUAUUUUUAAUUCAAUAUUCAUCUAUAUAUACCCCAACCCCAAUUCAUUCUUCAUUCAUAUAUCCUACUCAAUUCACUCUUUUCCUUCCCCUUUUUCUUCAAAAAAAUGUCAUCAUCCACUAAUUCUUCAAAUCAAUAUUCCUCAAAUUCUUCAUCAGACGAAGAAAUUCAUGUCGAUCCUGCACAACUUCCUCCUCUUCCCGACCCUACAUCCCGAUUUAUUUUUUAUGAGAUGUGCUGUGAAUUUCAUGCAAGUGGCGAGUUCUUAUCGUUUCGAGCCUCCUCCGCUACCGAAGAAGAAGCGGAGAGUUGUUGUCCGUGAUCGUGAAGGUGGAGCCGAGCGCCUCCAUCGUGAUUAUUUUGCUCGUAGAUUUAAUUAUUUCGAAAAUAAUGUACUCCCUUCGUCUCACAAAAACAUGAACGUUUUUUCAUUUUGGGGUGUCUCACAAAAACAUGAACAUUUCCAUUUUAGUACAUCAUGGCCCACAACUACUUUUCCUUAAUUAAUUCAUUACUCUCACAACACCUUUUAAAGUGUGACCCAUUUUCCACUUAGUUUAACUCUCAACUAACAUUUCUUAAAACCCAUGCAUUUCUCUUUGUUCAUGUUUUUGUGAGACGGAGGGAGUAAUAUUUUAAUAUUUUUCAUUUUUUUAAAUUUGUAAUGUUUAGGUUUUUAAUAUUAAUGAAAUUUAAGUUAUUAAAUUUAAAAGUUGUCGAUUUUUUAAUUAAAAACAAGAAUAAAAGUAAAUAGAAAAUAAAAAUUAAAUUUAGAGAGUCAAUGGUGGGCUCUCCCAUUGUGGAGAGUGGGUGCAAUAGAAGUGGGGACCACAAUUGUGCACCCACCUUGGCUCACCAUUGUGGAUGCUCUUAGUCACCCGCCAUGAACAUUGGCGCCAUACACAUAAUUGAAUUUAAAAAAAAUAAAAACCUCUCAAAAUCUGGGGAAUUAAAAUAAUCCUCACUUGUGCAUUUCAACGAACAAGUACCAAUCAUCAGUCGAUGAUAAAAAUCACCCUGAUUUCUAACUAACUGUUUAACUUUGGAUUGAAAAUGAGCUGGAUUUGGGCGGCGGCGGCGGCAGCAGCAGCAGCAGCGAUCCCAUUAUUCCUCAACCUCCUUCAUCUAUGGCGGAACCUCUCGAACAAGAAGAAGAAGCUCCCUCCCGGCCCGAAAGGCCUUCCAAUCAUCGGCCAUUUCAACCUACUAAGCAGCAAUCCUCACCAAGAUCUUCACCGUCUAGCCCGCAAGCACGGCCCGAUCAUGUACACGCGCUUCGGCUCCAUCCCGACCAUCAUCGUCACGUUCCCCGCCGCCGCCGAGCUCUUCUUGAAGACCCACGACCUCGUCUUCGCCGACCGCCCGCACCACGAGGCCGCCUACUACCUCGGCUACGAGCAGCGCAACAUUGUCUUCGGGCUACGGUCCCUACUGGCGCAACAUGCGCAAGCUCUGCACGCUCGAGCUCCUCAGCGCCCUUAAGAUCGCGCAGUUCGCGCUGGUGAGGACGACGGAGCUCGGGAUCCUGGUGGCCUCGCUGAGGGAGGCGGCGGCGGCGCGUGAGGCUGUGGAUAUGGGCGUCAGGAUCGCGUCGGCGAGCGCUGAUUUGAUCAGCUUGAUGGUGUUCGGGGGCAGGUUCGCGGAGUGGGAAUUGGACGGCGCGAGGUUUAAGGAGGUGAUGACGGUGGCGGUGGCGGAGGGCGCGGCAUUCAACCUCGGCAACUACUUCCCGUCGCUGAGGUGGAUGGAUCUUCAGGGCUCGGCGCGGCGGCUGAAGAAGCUGAGCGCUAUCUUCGAUGCGUUCCUCGAGAGGAUCAUCGACGAUCACGAGCGGAAGGAGGAGAGGAGCCUCGAUUUUGUCGAUACGAUCAUGGCGAUUCACGACUCCGGCAAGGCCGGGUUCGAGUUCGACCGCCGGCAUGUCAAGGCCGUGUUGCUGGUAAUUUGAUUUAACCUCUUAAUUUCCAGUUCACCGUUAGAUAUUACUCCCUUCGUCCACGAAAUUUAUGCCACAAUUUCUUUUUCCGUCCGUGCAUAAAAAAUAUGCCAUAUCCAUUUUUAAUAAUGUGGUCCAUAUCACUCCAUUCAGUGGGACCCUUACUCCACUACCAACUUACUCACAUGUUAUUAAAAAAUCGUGCCAAAAACAAUGUGGCAUAAAUUUCUAGAUAGAGGGAGUAUAUAUUCUAUAUAUAUAUAUAUAUAUAUAUAAAGGAAUUCAAAUAAAAACCUUCUUAUCACAAUAACGCGAGAAUAUUUGCAUAGAAUGUAUAAACUACUUGCACAAAUUCGACAAUUACUACUCAUGUUCACUAUAACAAAAGUUUCCAUUAAUGACUUGGUAACUAAUAUUCGUGUCAUAAGAAUUAAUGAUAUUUAAAAGUGUAACUAUUAGUGACUAGCUACAUCAUUAAAUAUCACUAAUUUUUGUGACACGCAUAAUAGGUAUAAAGCCUUAUGUCACUAAUAAAAACUUUUGUUGUAAUUGAGGAUCGAAUUCGAUCCACCACUGUUAUAUUAUGGCAUACUCCCUCCAUUUUAAAAAAUGUCGCAUGCCUUCAAAACACACAUUUUAAGAAAGUAAAUAAUUUUUUCACCAAAGAGAACAUUAGUUAAAAAGUGUGGGGACCAUUAAAAUAUGAUAAAUUUUUUUCUUCUUCUUCUUUUCUAAUGUUAAACUUACAACUAAAGAGAAUACACACUAAUAGAACACUUAGAGGGUGUUUGGCUUUAAAAGAGCUUAUAAGUUGUUUAGGAACUUAUAAGCUCCUUAAAAGUAUUUGACAAAAUAAGCUACUAAAGAGCUUAUAAGUUGUAAAAAAUAAGCUCUAAAAGUUUAUAAUCUCCCCAAAAAAUAAGUUCAUGUACUCAAAUAAGUUCAUUUACUCCAACUUAUUUUCUCAUUAUCUUAUAAGCAAUAUUAAUUUUACAAAAGUAACUCAACUAUAUACUCCGGUCCUCCGUCCGCGAUAUCGUUUCCACUUUCAUUUAUAGAAGCAGGGUCCACAAACUUCCACUCACAAUAAUAGUGGGACCCAAACUCCACUUACUACAUAUCCACUACUAUCCACCACUUUUCUUAAAACCCGCGCUGUCCACAAUGUAAAAACGAUAUCACGGACAGAGGGAGUAUGAUUUUUUAUUUUCAUCAUAUAUCAUUCUAAUUUCAUAUCUUUUCGAUUUUGUCUCUCUAACUAUGACUCAACUCCAAUUAAAACUUUAAAUUCUUCCCCCUAUCAAAUGUUGUGGUAUAGGAUAUGCUGAUUGCGGGAAUAGACACUUCGUCAGCAGCUGUAGAAUGGACACUCUCUGACCUAAUCAGACAUCCAACAGAAAUGAAGAAACUCCAGAAAGAUCUAGAAGAAAUCGUGGGGCCAAACCAAAUGGUGGAUGAAUCUCAUCUCCCCAGCCUAAAAUACCUUGAUUGUGUGAUCAAAGAAUCAAUGAGGCUCCACCCCGUCGGCCCGUUGCUCAUCCACCAGGCCACGGAGGACUGCGAGGUCCACGGCUUCCACAUACCGAACAAAUCCCGAGUUCUCGUGAAUGUCUGGGCCAUCGGGAGGGACCCCGAUGCCUGGACUGACCCCGAGACAUUUGCUCCCGAGAGAUUUCUCGGGAGCAAAGUGGAUCUCCGGGGUCGAGAUUUUCAACUCAUACCCUUCGGAUCGGGUAGACGGGGCUGCCCCGGGUUGCAAUUAGGGUUAACCGUGGUUCAAUUGAUGGUGGCGCAAUUGGUUCAUUGCUUUGAUUGGGAGCUCCCUAAUGGAUUGGUGCCCACGGAAUUAGACAUGUCUGAGAAAUUUGUAUAUUUUCUUUAGAUGGAAUUUCGCAAAGUAUUCUUGUUUUUUGCAUAGCAAAGACCAAGUGUCUCUUAAAAUCAUAUGAUAGCAUAGAUAAUUUAUUAAAUUAAAUAAACACAUAGCGGGAUAUUUUAUGAAAAAAAUAAAAGUAUGGGACUUUUUUGGGAAAAAUAAAAGUUCAAGACAUUUUAUGGAAAACGCUGAAACUUCGGAAAAUAAAACAUCGUUAACCCAAUAUUUUAUAAAUUGUGUAUAUAUAUUAAGCUAUAUUGACUCGGAUGUAUAUAUAUAUAUUGACUUAUUGAGUCAAUGGUUUUUUUAAAUUAGUAUUUCUAAUUAAAUAAAAAAAGGAAAUCCGAAUAGAAAGAAAUUUGGAAGAAAUAAUGAAAUAUACUAAACCGCAAAAAAAUGUCAUUUUUUAUGUUUAUCUAUUAGGUGUGGCUCAUGAAAGCAGGUGUAGUUGGUCACCAAAAAAAAUAAGCUAAUGUAAUAAUUUAUUACAAUACGUAAAUUCCAUACAAAACUAAUUAUUAAAUACUAGUGGGAAUUGGAUUAUUCAAUUACAUUUUAACUCAAACCUAUUUACCAAAAAUACAAAAAGCAUGAAAUAAAUGAGAUUGUAUUAGGAUCAUAAUCAUAUUAUUAUACAUAUUUUAGCCAUAAUACUCUUGGAGCAUCUCACUCACACCACAAGAAAAGGCUAGCUUCGACAAAUCCAAAUUAGGUAGCCUAAUUAAAGAAUAAUUAAAAAUAGUUUGAGUUUGGGUUGCUUUUUUAUUUCCCAAACCAUUUCACAAAUAAAUCAAAGCAUGAAAUUCACGUUAAAUUUAGGAAAAAGUCAGAAACGCGAAAUUUUUGCAGUUUAAACUUGCAAGGAACAUGUGGCUUGUCUUAGCAUACUUUCUUUCUUUCUUUUCUUUUUUUUAAUUCACAAAAAAUUCUUUCUUUUUUUGGGGUGGAAAUUAUUGAACUCUUAAUUUAAUCUAAUUAUGCACGCCAACUUCAAAAGUUUGGCAUGAUACAAACCAAAGUAUUGAUUUAAUAUGAUUUUACUACUAUUUAAAAUUUCAAUUGAACUUAUUAUUGACAUGAUUAGUUAAAUAACUAAAUAACUCGUGUUGUUUAUGCCAAUCGACUACCGAGCGAGAACGAUUAUGUUAUAUUAAUUAUCUGAUCAUGUCAGCAAUAAAUUUGACUGGAAUUUUAAUUGGAAGUAAAAUAAAAUUAAAUCAAUAUUCCGAUAAUGAUCACGUACACUAAAUAUUAAAAUUUGUUCGCAAAAUCAGAAUUGGACGAAAAGUUUGCCAAUUUCUAAGACAAUUUUGCCCUUUUGUUAUAAUUAAAACAAAUAUUUGGCUUAAAGAAUAGCCAUUCAAAUUCCGCCACGUAAUUUCUUCGUGUCUAAGAAUAUUUUCCUCUAGCUUUUUCAUUUUUAUUCCUAGCAAUGCAAACUUUUUUUUUUUUUGCUUGGCGUAAUUGGAAAGUGUUUACUUGAUCUUGCUUAUCAAAUUUCUUAUUACAUGUUAUUAAGUUUCCUACAAAUGCUUUCUUAUUUUAGUAAUUUGUAUAGUUUUUAGUCUUGUUUAAGCAUGGCUGCAAGAAUCCCAUCAUCCUCUUACAAACUACAGGCUUUGGCCACUUUUCUCCGCCGGCACGGAGCCGUAUCCGGUGGUUCGUGGCGGAGCAACCCGAUUGGCCGCCGCGAUCCGCCGCCUUAUAAGGUGGGAGGUGUUGGGCUCAGGUUACUAAGCGACAGCUCCAAGUUGAGAACAACGUUAGUUCAUUCUUGAAUUAUAAUUAAAUUACUUUUGUAUUUAUAUGUUACUUUUUAUUCCAAUUUAUAAAUAUUAGAACCAUAAUCCCUACUUGUCUUCGUUGUUCAAUUUAUAGCUCGAGUCAAAAUUCCCACCAACUGAGGGUGGCGUGUAUCAUGGAAUCUGAUUUGGCAAUUAAAAUAACUACUAAGUCAAAAUUUCGCUAGCUGAUGUGGAGAGUGAAAUGUUGAUAUAAUUUUUAUUUUUUAAUUUUUCAAUCAGCUUUCCACGAGACCGAAAUUUUGACUUGACUAUAAACUGAAAACAAAAUAAAUACAGACUAUAUUUGUAAUAUUUAUAAAUUCGGUUUAUAUUGCUUUAUUCAUGGCUUUGUUUAAUAAAUUUGCAUUAAUUAAUUUCCUAAAGGGAGAGGAAUCAAAGUGAAGAGAACGGGAAUUGCCAGCUCCGCCCAAGUUUGGUGUUUCAAAUUGGUAACAAUUUCUUUCAAAAUCAAGCAAAUAUUAUUUUCCAUUUUAUGAAAUCAAUACAUCUCAAAAUUUGUCCAAAAACAAAGAAAAGUAUUAUUUUAAAUUAAUUUGGAUCAAAUUGAGGUGAACCUUUUGCAGGGUGAAAUGGCUUCUGGGAUAUGUAGUAACAUUUCUGCUACCAUUUUGGAAGAAUAAAUGGGACAAUUUGCUGACAUUGGAAGGUAGCAUAACAUGCCAUGAAUUUCUCUAUGUAACUACUAUAUUUAUAUAUAAUAAUUAAGAAUUAAAUUCAAAUACUAAUAGAUUAGAAGGAUAUGAUUAAUAUUGAAACAAAAAUUCUAGUUAAUUUGGGUAAGUCAUUGGGAUUUAAGUUCAGUGUACCAUAUUGUGUCCCACUUUUCAAUUAUUUUUUGUAUAUUUUUUUUCUCCAAUUUCAUUUUUAUGAUUUAAUUUAAUCAAGUUUAUUAUUUUAACUAGGGUUCAUUCUAUUCGAUUAGAGUAUAUAAUAUUUUUUAUUAUUAAUUUAUUUAAAUUUAUGAUUAGGAGAGGCGGCGAAAGUCGUGGGAGAGGUGGAGGUGGUGGCGGAGGUGGUGGAAAAGGUGGCGACCGCCGCCGAUAAGGCGCUGGAGGAGGUGGUGAAUCAGCUCCCAGACAACAGUAAGCUCAAGGAAGCAGCUCAAGCAUUGGAACAUGUCUCUAGUGUAGCUGCCAAGGAUGCUCAACUAAUUGAAAAUUUAAUCAACAAGGUUUUUUUUUUGGAGUUUUUGUUAUGCUCUUUUAUUUCAACUUAAUUAUUUCUUAAGUAUAUGUUUGGUAUUAAUUUGAGACAGGCUAGUGAUGUGAAGCAAGAUAUAGAAGAGUUGGAGAGCAUUAUUGAACCAAUUGUUGACAAGAUUAUGCAUGGGAAGCACACAAAGAGUUAAUCAAGAACAAAAAUCAAAAUUGUAAAUUUUACAGCCUUUUUUCUGUUUUUAUUUUUAGGGUGUCAAAAUUGAAAUAAAACUUGGGAAGGCCCGAUGCGAUAGCAUCAUGUAGAUGCUACUGGAUGGGAUUCAACGUCCCAUAAUUUCUAGCGUGUUACUACAUUUCGUUAUUAUAUUUUAUCUAUUAUUUUAAUAAUGUUUUUAUGCAAAUAAGUUUUUUAUAAUAUUAUGAAUUAUACUUAACUUUUAUUUCAAACAAAAAGUUAAAAAAAAUGUAUACCCUAAUAAUGAACUAUUUAACUAAUUAUAAAAGUAAAAUCAAAUGAUUAAAUGCCUUAAUUGAAUGAAAUGAAUCAUAAUAGUUACAAAAUUAAACCUAUAAUAAUAAAGGAUACAAAUUGAAAUUGAAGGGGGAAAAAUGAAAUAUUUGAAAGUGAAACAUAAAUAGGACAUCAAAAUUGUGAGUAAUAAUUGAAUCAUAAAUGCACAAAAUAUGCUGCAAAAUUGAUAUACAAAAUAUUCCUCAACUGCCAGAAACUAAAAUUUUGUGGGCCAUUAUAUCCAGUAAAUGAAUAAAAGCCCAGAGGCCUUUAGAAAAUUAAAUUAUAAUUAUCAUUUGGGCCAUUUCUUACCUAUAUACUAAUAUGAAGGGCUUUUUUUUUUUUUUUUAUGGAUAUAUAAUAUUAGGGUUAAUUGCCAAAUAUCACACUAUCUUUCACCUAAUUUGCAAUUUAAAUUUUUGGAUAGCUUCGAAUAAGACAUUACCUUUGUAUUUGUAGUAAAUUAGAUGUCUUCAAUUUUUUUCGAUUGUCAAAAUUCAACGUGACACUCUCCAUUUAAUGAAACAAUAAUAAUUUGACAUAUAGAACGUCACGUGCAACUAAACCACGACGUUUUAACAUAUGAAUUUAGUAGAACUAAUGUAUAUCCUAUCGAAUUCCAACGGAAAAAAGUUUACAUUGUAAAUUUAUAAUUAGAAACAAUAAAAAUAACUUCAUACUUGCGUAGAGUUUAGCCAUUUAAAAUCGUUGAUCGUGAUGAUAUACGAUGAUUAACCAAAAUGACCAAAAGGAUGAGGCUAAUAUUGUUUAUCCACCACCUUGACCCAUCUAAAAUAUAUACUCGCGUAUCAAUCUUAAAUAUAUAUGACUCAUACUCUUAAUUACCUAAAUUCAUUUGAAUUUUAAUUAUAAUUUGUUACAAUGAUUAAAAGUGACAAUUCCACAUAAAAAUAAAUUGGUCAAAUUAGGGUAAGUUGUGCGCCUCAAAUAUUUCAAAUUUACACCGCCAAAAAGCAAAUUUAACAUAAGAUUCGAAUCAUGUAUAAAGCUAGCAUGAAAUCUUAAUUGGGAGAUAUCUCGUACUUGUUAAAAGUAAUCUCCUUGUUUUAAAAGUAAUUUGCAAACCUAUUUUAGACCAUUUCUAAAUUUAAAGUACCUUGUGAAUAUAUUUAUUAAAGUUUAUUUAUUUAUUUGAUUAUAGUCUAACUCUUAGUAGACUGUUAUGAUAUGUAUUUGCAUGUCAAAGAUAAACAGUUACAACAAAAAAAUAGAAGAGGUGAAAAUAAAUAUUUGAUUAAUCAAUAGAUCGCCACAUACUAGUUCGGACAUAAGUAAUGAUGGCUAAAAAGAUUAACCUAAAAAAAUUACUCAUAUAAGGUAGAUAAUGGAGCGUUAAAAAUUACAGAGAAACACGCACAAUUGUUGACCAAAUUAGUGAGUAAUUGUUGACUUAAUUAAAGUAAACUUUUGCCAUUUUUAGAAAGUAGCCACUUAUAGUGGGACAGACGAAAAAGGAAAUGUGGCCACUUAUUAUGGGACGGAGGGAGUAGUAAAUAAAUGAAUAUUAAUCAAUAGAUCAGCCAAUAACUAGUAUCGUACAAUCAAUAAUAAUGUAUAUCGAAUGGCAUAAAACGAACAAAAGAAUUUAAAAACCUAAAAAAAAAUUAAAUACUCAUAUAGAAGGGUAGAUAAAUCCGAGCGUUCAAGCAACCAAAAUAACGGCGAAGAAACCGACCGCGGCGGCAGCGAGUCCUGCUCCAUUGAUUACCGCGCCGUUUGCUGAAGGCAACGGAGCGCCACCGGCGGUCGGAGGCGCGGAGACGGACGGCGAGGGAGAGGUAGUCGACGGAGGAGGAGCUGGCGGCGAGAAGAACGCCGUAGGAGAAGGAGAAGACGACGCGGACGCAGGAGAAGGAGCGGUGACCGUCGUAGGGGCCGGGCUAGGGCUCGCGUGACUCGGCGGCUGCGCCAGCGGAGAAGGCGCCGGUGAUUUAACGACUGGCGACGGCGACGGUGCGCCGGAAGGCGACUGCGCCGCGGCGAAGGCUAGCAGCAGAGCAGACAUCAGCAGUGCGGAGAAAACUUUGGAAGUCGCCAUUGCUGGUCUCGAGAUUUUUUGAAGGUAGAGAGAGAAAGGUGAAUUUGUGAAGAUUUGGAGAGGAAUGAGAUUUUUGGAUGUGAAGAGUAAACGAGGUAGGGCUUUGGUAUUUAUAGGGAGGAGGCGUGGCUGUGGGGCCCGUACAGCUCAUGGUUGACUGGAUUUGACUCGUUUUGCUCUGUUUGGGAAAUUUUAACAAUUACCGCGAGUUUUCCUAAAUUGAAGGACGCGGUUAAAUGUAUUUUACAGAUGGGAAAACGCGUUUGUAUAUUCAAGUGGGAAAGGAAAGUUACGUGUUUACACACUUUAUCGGGUAAAUUUGCUUCUACACUAAGGCCCUGUUUGAUAUGGGUUUAUAGGUAGGAUAAAUUAAAUUAAUACAGAUUAAUGUGAUGUUUGAUAUCAUGUGCAGUUAAUAUGGUCAACUCCUACUUAAUCCUACUUCUCCAUGCUAUUUUGUGGGAUUAACCCAUACUAAUAAUCCGCCCACCCCCCUCGGAUAAAUUUAAUACUGAGAAGUUGGAUAAAAAUUCUGCUACCCUUCCUCACGCAUAUUGAUGCAAAUGCCCAAGUAAUGGUGGACAUACAUGAUAUUUUUAAAAUUAUGUGAGGAUAGUUUUGGUAUUAGAUAAUAUAAUCCAACAUAAUCCUAUGGAUAUCAAACAUAAUAUAGGAUUAAGUAGCCAUGAUAUCAAACACCCAUGAAAUAAUAUAAAUCCACACUAAUCCACACUAAUUUCUUAAGAUAAUUUUAAUCCUAAUCAAUCCUAAACUGCAAAUCAAACAGCCCCUAAGUAAGCGAGAUUAACCGAUAAGAUAUAUGAUUGAAUAUUUUUAUUUUUAAAAGUAGAUUUUUUAAUUUUAAUAUUUUAAUAAGAUAAAAAUUGAGUAAAAUUAACUUAAUAUGACAUGACCUUGAGAUAUUCCAAAGUUUCAAUCCAUCAAAAUAAAUAAGAGAUUAGCCUUACAAUUUUUAUCUAUUAAAUCUAGUAUUUCAAAUAAGGGUGCAUACAAUUACGUUAGAUUAUAUUAGCCCGAAAUUAUUAAAAACUAAAUAAGCUUAAAAUUAUUCAAGUCAAGUAUGAAACGAGGCUUGUUUACGAAGCAGAGCACCCUCAUGAGUCAUGACUAUUUCUAUGUAGUACUGUCAUGAGAUUAAGUCACAGACUGUAUCCAUCCAACCAAACAACAUAUCAUAACAUAUCAUGAGAUUAAACUUAUCUUACCCAUCAAAUCGAACACCACCUAAGUAAUACUCCAUUUGUCCCACUUAUCUUAGAACAUUUACUUUAGUCACGGACAGGGGCGGAGCCAGGCCCCUAAAGAUUAGGGGGGCAAAAAACUUUUGCCCCUUUUUAUUUAAAAUUUUGGUGGGGCAAUAAUUAAUUUUUUUUUAUAAUUAUACACAUAUAUAUAUGAAUAUAUUAGCUAUAUUAAAAAAAUUGAGGGGGGCAAUUGCCCCACUUGCUUAAGCUGUAGCUCCGCCACUGGUCACGGAGAUUAAGAAUAAUGUACUAAUAGGUAGGAACCAUUAAAUAUUUAAUGUGUGUAGAGAAGGUAGAGACCAUAUAUUAUUUUUGAAAUGCGUCGUUAUGUAUGAGACAAAUUAAAAAGGAAAUUGUGUCAAGACAAGUGAGACGAAUGAAGUACUUACUUCAGUCUCAUUUGAAAUAUCUCAUUUCUUUUAUACAAGUGUAUUAAAAUAUAGGUUAUUUAAAUAUAAAAUGGGUUAUUUAUAAUAAAUUAAAAAGAUAAAUUGGGUUCUUUUUUCGAGUAUUUCUAUCAAAUUAGGUAAGAGAGAAUAUAAAGAGUGAAUUUUUUGUGACAUGUUGUAUAGGUAUUUUGUUUUGUAUUAAAUAUCUCAAAAUGAAAUGAGACAUUUUAAAUUAAUAAGUAUGACGUUUCAAAUGGGACAUGAGGUACAACUUUUACAAAUAUAUUUUUCUGAAUAAGAGAAAGCUGUAAAAUAAUAUGUUUGGAUAUUUUUUAUUUAUUGAAAUGGAAGAAUGGGUUUAUUUGUUAUUGAAGAAUAGGAUUGACCAAAAAAAGUAAAGUAGUGGCGACGCGGUGUCAUGGCAGUGGCUUCCUCUCUUUCUGACUUGCUAACCAACAUGAAACCCACUAAGCAAAGUAAAUUCUACCCAACCACCACCAUAUACUUGUUUCCAAAUAUUCUCUAAAAAGUUGUAAAUUUCAAAUCACUCAAUACAUUUUUUAAUAAGAUACUAUUUGUAAUAAGUCAACAAUAUCAUUUUAUAGUAGUCACUGGAGCUUGGGUCUCACUAUUACUAUGAGUGGAAGUUUUUGGACCCUAUUUCUAUAAAUGGAAGUGAAACGAUAUCGCGACAAAUGUGGAAACGAUAACGCGGACGGAGGAAGUAUUAUUUUUUUUUUCCGUCCGUAAAAGGAUUUUCUAGGAGAAAGUUACACGAAUUUUAAGAAAAAAAAUUAUUGAGUUUAUUUGAGAGUGAUAAAAAAUAAGCAGUAAAUAAAGUAUUAUAAGUAGUUGGAUACAGUCUAAAAAUAUGUAGGAAAUCUUUUUGUAGACGUCCCAGAAAGGAAAUCUUUAUAUGUAUAAUUUCAUUUAUUAUUGAUAAAAGUAUCAUUUAUGUAAUAUAACUAGAUAGGAUCGGGUGAUCGGGUGGGGUGAGGUGGCUCGAGGCGACACAUAGAGCCUCGGCUCGCACAGGGCGAACUCCCGCACAGGGUGCGGAGACCAUGUCUAACUUUUUAUCACCCUAACAAAGAAAAAGAAAAAGCAAAAAAAAAAAAAAGAAAGAAAGAAAGGAGCAUUGUUGGGAUACAUAUUUGAAAAGUAAGUGUUCAUGAGAUUCCUAUCCGAUGUGGGACAUGUCAUAACACAUCUAUUGACAAAAGUAAUAGUAGAUGUUAUCUUUAGACAAGUUUCAACUUUGUAGAACUAAGAAUUCCAACCAUCACAUGUAGAAGAAAUACAUCAAAACACCAACAAAAUCACAUAGCAACUUACCCAAGAUUCCAUAUAUUCCAUAAGAAUCUCUACUCUUUUGAGUGAUGUUAAGUGAAUCAAAGUUAGACAACAAAACAAGAAGCUUGCUAAAUCGAAGCUAGUGAUUAUUAGGUGCAUAUAUUACAUUUGCUAAUUUCUAUUACAGCUUAUGAUCCACUUAUAAGGUAGUGGUACAACGAAGCAAAAAGAAUAAGAAUGAUAUAAAUGAAUGAUGGCCAAGAAUUUCUCUUCCGGGGAGUGAAAAAAACGAUCAACAGAAACUGCGUCAUUACCUUGUUAUUCUCGUACGAACAUCAAAUGGUGCAACGGGAAGCACCAGAUUCCGAUUCCUUCUCUUCAAGUGGAGCAAUCAUGAGUCUGAUGUAGCUGGGGUUUCACCACUUGCUCGUCCGUUCUUGUUGGUGAUGAGCGCUGGAUUACCAUUGCCGUCUAAACCAUAAACAUGGCCCAUUUUGGCACGUUUCGUCUCUAGAUAUCUCAUGUUAUCCUUGGUGAUUGGGGUCACGAGGGGCACCCUGCCUGCAACGGCCAAACCAUAGCCCUUGAGUCCGAUGUACUUUGCAGGAUUGUUCGUCAUCACUUCAUAGUUCUGACCCCGAGAUCUCUCAGUAUCUGCACAAAAUUACACGACCAUAAUAAGUAAGGGGAAGGUGAACCCUAAACUCUCAAAUAUUAUAUAUAUAUGGGGGAGGGGUUAAGCUCAAAACAGCUCUUAGAGUAUAAAAUAGGAAUAGAUUUACACCAUUGAUCCACCCAUAUUCGAACCGUUGAGAUUUAAUCUUAGAGAAAUCGUAUGUAAAUGUAUAAAUUUUAUGUAGAACACGUAUGAAUUCGCUGUGUAAAUGUCUGAAUUGCAAAAUUUAAAAAUUUUGCUACCUACAAGACUCGAACUCAAAACCAUGAAUUCAUCGAACUCAAAACCAUGAAUUCAUCUCACAAGGGUUAUGAAUAAAAAAUUUGUUACUUGUUACUCUUCAUCGUAUAAAACGAGUCUACUAUAAAUUUGUUAUGAAAUAUUAUGAAUUCGCUGUAAAACAAUGUAACACGUGAAUAACCACAUGAACAAAUCAAUGAAAUCCAUAAAUCAGAUAUGAACAACGACAUUAGUUGAAUGUGUUGUUCAUGUGUUGCAUUGAUUUUCAAUGAUAGAUUUAAGCACGUGUAAUUUAAAGAGGCACUGCAUGAUGUUCGAUAACACAUUACCUGCGCACCAAUUCCAUACUCCCUUGAAUCAACGGGUAAACCCAACUCCUCAUUUGCCUCCACAGUGUCACGCCCAGCAUCUUGCAAAUUGUAAGCUCGGAGUUUGUGGCCUAAACCGAUUCCCCUCCCCUCAUGACCACGGAGGUAGACUAGAACACCCCUGCCGGCUGCCUCAAUCUGUUGCAUCGCAAGUGACAGCUGGCUUCCACAAUCACAUCUGGCUGAACCAAAUAUGUCACCAGUGAGACAUUCUGAGUGUACUCUAACAAGAAUAUCUUGUCCGUCACCAAUUUCACCCUGUUGAAAUCAUCACGUUGUGAGAUUGCGACAUUCUAAAUUAUUAAAGCUCAAAGCAGGGUGCUGCGACUGAAAAAUAUGCAUUAUCGCAUAUUACUCACCUUAACCAUUGCAAUGUGUUCAAUCCCAUCUAUAAUCGACCUGUAACAAUGGGCGGUAAAUGGACCCCACAUAGUUGGUAUACGAGCAGCGGAAGCGUGCUCCACUAACCUAUCCCUCUUUCUCCGAUACCUGAAAAGUACGGCGUGUCAGAACUUCUUAAUAAAGUUUCUGAACAUAAUUAUACACUCAGAUAAGUCGAUGAUGGAAAUAAGAGGGAAUGCAGUAGAGAUAAUGCCAUAAUAGAAUAAAGAUAUCUACAACAUCAUCAUCAUUUAGAAAUAAAGGCGCCAAGAAAUUUACGAAAAGAAGCUCGUCAAGUACCUUAUUAAAUCAGCGAUAGAUAUGAUUUUCAGGUUUUCUUGCUUGACGAAUUCCCUCAGCCUAGGUAACCGAGCCAUGGAGCCAUCAUCGUCUACUAUCUCACAUAAAACUCCAGCAGGUUCGGAUCCAGCUAGCAUGGCAAGGUCCACAGCUGCUUCUGUGUGCCCCGCUCUUUUUAGGACACCGCCCUCCCUGUACUUCAGUGGGAAUAUGUGCCCUGGCCGAUUGAAAUCCUCAGGCUUUGAAUCUUUUGAUGCAAGAGCCAAUAUUGUGGUCGCGCGGUCGCGUGCCGAGACACCCGUAGUUGUACCAUGUUUCGCAUCCUACAAAAGUGUCAGUUAGUUAUGCUAUCUACUCUCCUCCAAAAACUUAUACAGUAUUAGAAAGAAUCACAUACUAAGCUAAAGCAAGUGAAUAGGGACAAAAUACAGUUGCAAGCAAUCACAUUAUCGCAGAGAAAAAUCUUACCACCGAAACAGUGAAUGCAGUAGAGAGCUUCUCCUCGUUUUCCUUAUGAUUUACCAUCAAGGGGAGCUUCAGCCUCUCCAAGUCUUCGUCCUUCAUGCUCACGCAAACUAUUCCAGUUCCGUACUUCACAAAGAAUGCCAUAGCCUCUGGGGUGACUUUCGAUGCAGCCAUUAUGAGAUCUCCUUCAUUCUCUCUAUCCUCAUCAUCUACAACCACGACCAUCUGCAUUGUUCGGUCCAAAGAAUCUGUAAGAAACUAUUCAAUUAAAUCCACUGAUAACAGAAUCCAUGCGAAGAUCUAACCUUUCCUUCGCGGAUGUCUUUAAUGGCCUCAGGAAUACUCGAGAAACCUUCUGACGGCACGUCCAAGUCAAACUCAUCGCUUUCAAGAGGGAACCCACUAGCUGUGGGAGCCAUAUCAGCUGCAAGUGCUCCUAAUACUACGGCAUCGGACUGUACCUCCACUCCACCAGAUAUAUCACUGACGAGAGCGUUACUUGCAACAUCAGAACCCGCAGAAUGUGGAAGAGAGCCAUUUUCUGCUGAGAACAGGGCUGACUUAAUCUUCCCACUGGCCUUGAUACUCAAACCGAGUUUGGCACUGGGCCGUUUGAAGACUUCUACACCAUUCGCAUACUGAAUAUUUCCGCAUAGCAGACCGCUGUACAGUCUGGAACUGCUGAACACCCCAGAACAUAAAAGUUAGCCUAGAAAUUCGUAGCAGGGAAAAGAACUUGGACAGAUGCACAUCUUCUCUCACAGCAAAGAAAGGCAAGAUAUGACUCUGGCUCUGUCAAAUAGGACGAUCUACCAUUCCAACCUCACAUUAUUCCUAAAAAUAUGCAAUUCCACCAAUACGGAUACGCAAAUGAACAAUUCAUACAAUUAUCAACUUGAGACAAUAAACCUAUACUACUUCUGCAAAUGGAAAGCAACAACAAUAGUCACAUUCCAUUUUCAGUUAUUAGAAUGGACCCAAACACUGCAAACAUUCAAGAUCAACUAAAGAUGCUUUUUGAGCUCGAUUAACCCCUAACGGGGUAUUUACUAUUGAGGAUUAGCCUUUAUAGAUUUUUUUAAAAAGAAGUGUAGUAUAAUCAAUAAGAUGGAUUGGAACUUGGUAUAUCUCAAAGCCCUUGAUAAUUUCUACAAUUUAUAGGAUUAGAGAAAUCAUAUCUCAUCAAUCAUGAAACGUAAACACCCUGAAAAAAUUAUUUCCAAUGGGAUAGAUAAAUCAUAAUGAAGCUGAGAAAGAAAAAAAAAUAGGUCCAAAAUAAGAAAAAGCUCUAAACGAAGACAAUAUAACAGACAGGAAUAGUAAAAAAAAAUACUAACUAAGAAGCCAUCCACAAAAAACAACUUAUAUCACUCAUAAUAGAAAGCCAAGGUUUUUCCCUAAACACAACGAAGAAAACGCGUUCAAUUGGAUGAAUCAAAAACAAGAAAGAUUGAAUCUUUCAAUCACGCAGCCAAAGAAGAAGCAGAAGCGAGACGAGCCCAGAAAGAAUAACAGCAGAUACUGCAUCAGAAUAGAGAGAAACACUAACCCAGAGCGAGAAAGCGAAGUCGAUGGGCAAGAAAAAUUCAUGGAAGCCAUCGUUUUCGUCUAGGGUUGUGAAGAAAGUUGAUGAAUCCGAAGAAUUAAACAGCUCUGAAUGUUUUCACCUUCUGAAGGCAAAAUUUUCUGGUUAUUUAUCGAAUCAAGUUGGGGAAGAGGAGCUGGAUUCAGGCAAUUUCAGUAAUUUGGGUGAGAAGCGGCGGGGUGAUUUAUACUGCGUCACCAACCAUUGGGUAUUGAUUCCAUUCCAAACCUACUUUUCUUGGGCGAAAAAAGAAAUGGAAAAGAAAAGAUAACAAUUUGACUUUUCUUUUCUUGAUUUGAUUCAGUGUUUUUGGUCAAUUGUUUCAAAAACAAGGAGCCGCCGUCGCCGUGUGCGAAAUCGUAAUGUUUUGACUGUGGAUUUGGGGAUUUUCAGAUGAAUAUAAGCAUGGUUGUUUAUUCUUGAAUAGAAGACUUGACUCUUUAUUUUUAUUUUUUAUUUAUAUAAUCAUUUUUUUCCAUUUUUUAAAAGUGAUUAUUCGAAGCCUUGAUUUAACGAGUAAAGUGAUGUUUUAUCAAUUGAAUUAAUUUUUCUAUAAAAAAAAGUAUGAGUAUAAGGUGUUAGGUGUAUAAUUAUGAGAUGCAUAUAUUUUUAUUUUAUUUUAAAAAAGAUGGGGUGUUUGUUGUAUGUAUUUGCUACCAUUUAUUUUAAAGAUAGUAUAGGUAUGCUAGAAAUGGACAAAACCCAUUUUGUUCCUAAAAUAUUAUCCUUUUCUAUAACCUUUAAACAAUAGGAAUGUAUUUGACAAAAUAGCAUUUUACACUCUAUUGAAUAUUUUUACAAGUGUGUUCAAUUAGUACAAAAUAAAAUAUUAUUGUUGUUAACAAUUUAAUUUAACAGAUAAAAAAAUUAACUUAAUUUUAUUGUUGCGUCAAGUUAGGCCGAUUUGAUCAUCGAUAGAGACCACAAUCAGAAUUCCCAUGAUUUGAACUAUAGAACCUCCAAAAUAUUACUCCCUCCGUUCCAAACGAAAUGUCUUGUUUUCCUUUUUGGGCUGUUCCAAACGAAAUGUCAUGUUUCAUUUUUUGGCAAUACACACUCUCUCUAUACUUAAUAUUUAGAUAAUUUACAUCAACCCACUUUAUCUACUUUAUACACAUUUCUUAAUCUCCGUAUCGAAAAAAAUAGGAUAUUUCGUUUGGGACGGAGAGAGUACUUUCCAAUACGCCAUCGAUUUGACAUUUACAGAAUUAGGGUAUCGUCAACUAUUCGAAGCGAACUUUUAUGUGUCAGAUUGUGAAAUUAGUUUGAUGAUUUUGAAUUAAGCUCAAGAAAUGGCUAUUCCGAAUAUGGCCUUAGUUUUAGCAAUAAAUGAUCGAAUUGAUUAGGACUGAUGAUAAAAUAGAUGAAAAUUAAUUUUUUGAGUAAUUAUAUAAAAUUAUACCUACCAAUGUAUUUUAAUUUGUCCAUAAUUAUUGAAUUUCAUGCUAAAAACAAUUUUAUAAAUAUAACAUCCUAACUUUAGGUUAUAUCAUGAUUCAAGCGAAGACUUCCAACCCUCCCAAUAGGUUGAGUAAGGCAAAAAUGUCAAUAGUGUGAAAUUUCUAAUCCUUAUAUUCAAGAUGACUAGGAAAAUAUUCAGGUAUAGUAAACUAAAUAUAUAUAAUCCUAUCCUCCUAUGGAUAAAUAUCAAGACUUCAAUGCCCUAACUUCUAGUAACUAAUAAAUUCUCAUUUUUCUGAUGUGAUUCCUUUAUCUCACUAUUUUAUCUAUCUCAUUGUGUCUUAUUAUCUAAAUUUAUUAGUUUAUAACUAUUUAUUAUAAAAUAAAAUAUUGUUAUAUUAUAAUAAAUUAGAAUUAAUAUUUAUCACUAAAAAUCAUUUUUUAAAAAUAUAUAUAUACUCUUCUUUUCACUACAUAAAAUUUAUCAAAUAUUACAUUAAAACUUAUGUCAAACUAAAUCAUCAUAGUUUUCAUAAAUCAUAAACGGAGGGAGUAAUAUGUAGUAAGAAAACAUGAGGGAAUGGGUGGAAUAAAUAAUAGUUUGCAAUUAUGGGAUAUGAGAAAAUUAAUGUUGGAAUUGGGCAAAUGGGAUCAAAAGCCAACAGCUCUCAAUGCCAGAUCUCGAUGCAAAGCAUGUGGGAAUAGUCAUGGCGUUUCAGACGAUGUCGAUCGUUCUAUUAAUUUUUUUGUGUCUCGGUUAUUAUACCUGUUCUCGUUUUGAACCUAAUUUUAAUAAAGUCUUAAGAUGCAUUCUCUUUGAUGGAAAAUGAUGAAAUACAUAUAUUUUCCCCCCUUUUUCCACACACGUUCUCUUAGUUAAAAUUCCAUAUUAUGUUAAAAUAUCACUUUUCAUAUAACAAGAUAACCGGUGGAAUAUCUAAAGUGCCAUGGAUUUUGAAUGUCUUUUAAAGAAAUUGAGUUGAAUUUGAUGCCUUUUAAUUUAUAGUGAGGCAGAAUUUAAAUGAUAAAUGAUGGAGUUGGGCCUUGAUUUUGCUUUGGGCCGAAAUUUUGCUUACUAUAUCGAGAAGCCCAAUUGGUCUAUGUUAAUUGAUAGGUAAUAGGUUAGCUGAUAAAUGCUUUAGAAAUUUUAUGAAUGAUAAUUAAUGAAUUAUUUUCUUCUUUGACAACAAGAGCUCUUAAUCAGAUUCUCUUCAUAGCUAAAUCAACAACAUCUCUGCAGUUAUUUAUUUACAAUAGAGAAGAACAAACUUAAUUACCACAAUAAUUUUGUUAAUACAAACUCCCACCAAAUCAUGGCUUUUCAGCCAACAACUUUUAAAUUUCAAAGAAAAUGUAAACUAAACCUCAAAGAAAUAAAAAUAAGAAAGAAGACAACAACAACAACAUGUGUUCUCAAAAAUAAGAUGACAAUAAGCAGGGGAAGCAACUCUGUGCCUUAAAAAAUCCAACGUAGAGACUCACCGGCAGCAGGGGAAGCAACUCUGAAUUGCAAAACGACGACGUACCCUUCACUUGUAAAACAUGUUUUCACAUAAAUCCUUGAACAAGGGACUAAUGUUUUCACACUAAUCCAACUUUCAAACAAUUUUGGUUACAAACACAAUCCAGCAUUCAGGUUUUCAUAACCAUCGACAAAAUCCUUCGAUGGGCUCUUUCAUUUGCCUGAAAAUCGAUAGAUGGACAAUCUCAAACACUGUGACUAUAACACAAACAUUAAGACGUAAUAUUGCAAAGUAGUAACACUAACCUGUUAGGCAAGUUGCAGAGUCACUUGACCUCAAAAAGAAGAUUUGACAGCAAGUUGAAAGGAAAACUUGUCUUUUAAUUCAUUGGCACAAGCGACAGCUAAAGGAUUGCAGUUGCGUAAAUGAAUGAUCUCUAUCCAAGAGUGGUCAUACGGCCAAUCGAGCUGUUGUAAUUUGUAGCAAUGACUCAUGCUUAGUCUACGAAGGUUCGGGAAGCUUCCACGUUGAGGUCUCCAUCGCACCAAAUCGGUGUCUUGAAUUUGAAGUUCAAUAAGUUUCAAAAAANACAGAUAAAAAAAAUUAACUUAAUUUUAUUGUUGCGUCAAGUUAGGCCGAUUUGAUCAUCGAUAGAGACCACAAUCAGAAUUCCCAUGAUUUGAACUAUAGAACCUCCAAAAUAUUACUCCCUCCGUUCCAAACGAAAUGUCUUGUUUCCUUUUUGGGCUGUUCCAAACGAAAUGUCAUGUUUCAUUUUUUGGCAAUACACACUCUCUCUAUACUUAAUAUUUAGAUAAUUUACAUCAACCCACUUUAUCUACUUUAUACACAUUUCUUAAUCUCCGUAUCGAAAAAAAUAGGAUAUUUCGUUUGGGACGGAGAGAGUACUUUCCAAUACGCCAUCGAUUUGACAUUUACAGAAUUAGGGUAUCGUCAACUAUUCGAAGCGAACUUUUAUGUGUCAGAUUGUGAAAUUAGUUUGAUGAUUUUGAAUUAAGCUCAAGAAAUGGCUAUUCCGAAUAUGGCCUUAGUUUUAGCAAUAAAUGAUCGAAUUGAUUAGGACUGAUGAUAAAAUAGAUGAAAAUUAAUUUUUUGAGUAAUUAUAUAAAAUUAUACCUACCAAUGUAUUUUAAUUUGUCCAUAAUUAUUGAAUUUCAUGCUAAAAACAAUUUUAUAAAUAUAACAUCCUAACUUUAGGUUAUAUCAUGAUUCAAGCGAAGACUUCCAACCUCCCAAUAGGUUGAGUAAGGCAAAAAUGUCAAUAGUGUGAAACUUCUAAUCCUUAUAUUCAAGAUGACUAGGAAAAUAUUCAGGUAUAGUAAACUAAAUAUAUAUAAUCCUAUCCUCCUAUGGAUAAAUAUCAAGACUUCAAUGCCCUAACUUCUAGUAACUAAUAAAUUCUCAUUUUUCUGAUGAGAUCCUUUAUCUCACAUUUUAUUCUAUCUCAUUGUGUCUUAUUAUCAAAUUUAUUAUUUUAUAACUAUUUAUUAUAAAAAUAAAAAUAUUGUUAUAUAAUAAAUUAGAAUUAAUAUUUAUCACUAAAAAUCAUUUUUUAAAAAUAUAUAUAUACUCUUCUUUUCACUACAUAAAAUUCAUCAAAUAUUACAUUAAUUAAAACUUAUGUCAAACUAAAUCAUCAUAGUUUUCAUAAAUCAUAAAUCGGAGGGAGUAAUAUGUACUAAGAAAACAUAAGGGAAUGGGUGGAAUAAAUAAUAGUUUGCAAUUAUGGGAUAUGAGAAAAUUAAUGUUGGAAUGGGCAAAUGGGAUCAAAAGCCAACAGCUCUCAAUACCAGAUCUCGAUGCAAAGCAUGUGGGAAUAGUGAUGGUGUUUCAGACGAUGUCGAUUGUUCUAUAAUUUUUUGUGUCUCGAUAUUAUAUCUGUCUCGUUUUGAACCAAUUUAAUAAAGUCUUAAGAUGCAUUCUUUUUUAUGAAAAAUGAUGAAAUACAUAUAUUUUUCCCCCCCUUUUUCCACACACAUUCUCUUAGUUAAAAUUCCAUAUUAUGUUAAAAUAUCACUUUUCAUAUAACAAGAUAACCGGUGGAAUAUCUAAAGUGCCAUGGAUUUUGAAUGUCUUUUUAAAGAAAUUGAGUUGAAUUUGAUGCCUUUUAAUUUAUAGUGAGGCAGAAUUUAAAUGAUAAAUGAUGGAGUUGGGCCUUGAUUUUGCUUUGGGCCGAAAUUUUGCUUACUAUAUCGAGAAGCCCAAUUGGUCUAUGUUAAUUGAUAGGUAAUGGGUUAGCUGAUAAAUGCUUUAGAAAUUUUAUGAAUGAUAAUUAAUGAAUUAUUUUCUUCUUUGACAACAAGAGCUCUUAAUCAGAUUCUCUUCAUAGCUAAAUCAACAACAUCUCUGCAGUUAUUUAUUUACAAUAGAGAAGAACAAACUUAAUUACCACAAUAAUUUUGUUAAUACAAACUCCCACCAAAUCAUGGCUUUUCAGCAAACAACUUUUAAAUUAAAAAAUCCACAUAGAGACUCACCGGCAGCAGGGGAAGCAACUCUGAAUUGCAAAACGACGACGUACCUUCACUUGUAAAACAUGUUUUCACAUAAAUCCUUGAACAAGGGACUAAUGUUUUCACACUAAUCCAACUUUCAAACAGUUUUGGUUACAAACACAAUCCAGCAUUCAGGUUUUCAUAACCAUCGACAAAAUCCUUCGAUGGGCUCUUUCAUUUGCCUGAAAAUCGAUAGAUGGACAAUCUCAAACACUGUGACUAUAACAGAAACAUUAAGACGUAAUAUUGCAAAGUAGUAACACUAACCUGUUUGGCAAGUCGCAGACUCACUUGACCUCAAAAAGAAGAUUUGACAAGAAGUCGAAAGGAAAACUUGUCUUUUAAUUCAUUGGCACAAGCAACGGCUAAAGGAUUGCACUCGACUAAAUUAAUGAUCUCUAUCCAAGAGUGAUCAUAUGGCCAAUCGAGCUGUUGUAAUUUGUAGCAAUCCCACAUGCUUAGUCUACGAAGCAUCGGGAAGCUUCCACGUUGAGGUCUCCAUCGCACCAAAUCGGUGUCGAAAAUUCGAAGCUCAAUAAGUUUCAAAAAACUCCCUGGUGUUAUGUCCCACUCGGGGCCUCGAAAUGCAUAGUGUUUUAAUAUGAGAAUCUCGAGAUUUGGCAGCAGCGAACCAAUGUCAUUCAUGUAAUUCCAAGGAUAUCCCCCUAACCCAGACAAACGUAACACCUUGAGACUUGAUGGAAACAUUGAAAGAGGAAUCGUAUUACACUCAUACUCUAUCUUGGGAUUCUUAACCCAAUAUUCAAGUUUCUCCAAAUUCUGGAGUUGGGAGAUAUAACCCAAGCAACUCAAUGGGUUUCUUUCAUCAUCAUCAUAAGGCUUCAACUCCACUUGAAUUCCUAAUUCCUUUAAAUUAGGAAUUCUUUUGAGAACUUCCCUUGUACAACUGUUUGCACUCACACCAAGAAGUGAGAUGAGUUUGUUCAAGGUAGCAUCAUCAGUAUUAGGGGUUGGUAGGUCCCUUCCACUUAUCUUAAGACGCUCUAGUUCUUGCAUGUCCCAAAUUUGCACAGGCAUAUAAGACUGAACUCCACGCUUUUUAAUGAACAUAUGUGGCUGGAUAAUCAAGAAUUGAAGGUGAAAAAGGUUGGAUAUGGAAGAAGGGAGCUCCCCGUUGCAUUUUAGGGAAAGGUACCGCAGACAAACAAGUUUAAAAUUUCAAUUGGGAUAUGGUAAAAUCGAACUCUAAGAGCACAUAGUACUCUAAGCAACUUGAAACCCAUGGCAUGUAUUGGGAUUGGAUACGGGUGAUAAGGACCAAGACAAAGGAGAGAACGGGCAGUGGAUGCACAAUCACUUUUUAUCGAAUCAUACACUUGUUUGAAGGCAAAUAAAUUGUUGUAAUGGGCACACAAGCGACGCUGGUCUUUUGUCACAUCAUCACAACCUCGUAAGACAUGUAGAAACUUGAUCCUACUAGCUUCUACCUUACAUAAGUGCUGCCAACAAGAAUGCACGCGAUACCGUCUCUCCAAAUACCAAGAAUUUUCUGUGUCGAGAACAAGAUGAUACGACUUAGAAAGCUUUUCCCAAAAACCUUCAAAACUCUUUUUAACAUCCAGUUCAAGAAAACCCUCAACACUCAACAGAGAAUUGAUAAAGACUGAAUUCUGAUCAGCAUAUGGAGGGAAAGCUCCCAUAUAGAGGAAAAACAUUUUUAAAUGUUGGGGUAAGUAGUCAUAACUUGGGAAAAGUACCUCUGAUAUUUGAUUAUAUGCAUCCUCAAAAAGUGAGUUGUGUUGUUUGCAGGCUACCUCAGUCCAGUAUUCUGGGGUCUUGUCGGCUUUUGAUAGGAGCUCUGCAACCGUGACUGUCAUAAGAGGAAGGCCUUCACAUUUCUUUGCAAUCUUCUCUCCUAGUUCCUCAAGUUGGCGAGGGAAACCGUCUUCACUGAACACCUUCUCACCAAGUAAUUUCUUAUUGUCUUCUUCAUUCAACAAGCUCAGUGUUAUGCCCGUAAGCUGCGGGUGUGUUAUUUGUUGUCUACUUGUAAGCAAGUAUCCAAUCCCUCCACGAAUAUUCCCUUCUUUCAAGCAAUUUAUCAUGCGACGUAUUGCUUGUGUCUCCCAAACAUCAUCCAACACGAUGAGACAUUUCUUACCCUGCAAUUUUUCUUUCAAUAGACCAACUAAUUCCUCACCAUCAUCGUCUCCUUGGGCAAGCAUUCGGUAAGCGUUGGGAUCCACUUGAGCUAGAACGCAGCGUAAUAAUUCAUUGGGUUCGCAUAUUCUACCCACUUUGACCCAUGCUCGAAACUCAAAAUGGCUCCGAAUUGAUGGAUCUUCAAAUAUAUGUUUAGCAAUAGUUGUCUUUCCAAUGCCCGCCAUCCCAAUAAUCGAAUAGUGUUUUUCUUCAAGAAGAUUAUCUCUGGCUCUUUGAAAUACAUAAGAUCUUCCAACCAUCUUUGACUUGAUUCCACCAAAAUCGAUUCUUGAGGAAAUAGGCUCGCCUUCUUCUUCAGCCAUAUUCUCCAUUUCAUUAGUGUACUCCUCCAUCAUCUUCACCAUCUCGACGAAGCAAUCAACAUGGUGUGCAGAUGCAGAUCUACAGAGAAGACAAGUUGCUCUCGCUUUCGAGUUGUGGAAGAAUCUGAGGUAAGAAUGGGAUUCGAGUAAAUCUUCGAAUUCCCAAACUGCCUCUUUUAUGAGUUCAUCCAAAGCAUUCACCUCUGUCCUGAUCUUGCUGCAGCUGGUCUCAUCCAAUUCGAGUAGAACUUUCUGCAAUCGAUCCAUCUGGUCGUAGGCAGGUUGUAAGAUUUGUGGAGAGUGGGAAACGUGAGAAAUGCGAGACGAUUGUAGAAUAUGCUGAAUCGUAUUCUUGAGAGAAGCCGCCGCACCAAAAGCCGCCAUACCCAAAUUAUCAGCUGAGAUACGAUAUAUUGUUGAAAUGAAAUUGCUUAGGUCUGCAAUUUUCCUCCAAAAUGAAGCUUAAACUAAACUGCAAUUAACCCAGAAUAAAAUUCAGUCGCCUAAGAAAGAAACGAAGAAGAAGAAGAAGGAAUUAUAAUAAGCAAACGCAGACGAAACAAAUGAUAGAUCUCAGUUCUCUGCUUACCUCUCGAAGGCGGCGGCAGCUGGUUUUGAUACAAUUUCAGAAACAUUCAAAACCACAUUCAAGAAUUUUAGUAAAUGAUUUGAAAAGAUGUGUAUAAUGUAAUGGUAAAAUCGAUCUAUUGAUGAUUUUGAAUGCAAUUGUGUGGAAGAAUUGUAGCAAGAAACAAAGCAACCGAAGAUUGUAAUUAUUAAGAAUGAGCAAUCAACCACUUGAAAAUUAUGAAAGAAGUGUGAAAACACAUGGCUUCCACUAGUUUUCGUAAAAGAAAACGCACGCCAAUAAAGCUAAUAAUAAAAUAUCCUAUAUAUAAUUAUAUUGGGUCCUAGCCCAAGCUUAUCAAUUCCAUGUGUGUAUGUAUUUAAUUUUAACAAUAAAAUUUUAAUUAAAAUAAAAAAAUUAACCAUAUAUGAAUUAAAAAAAUUACAAUAAUUUAAAUAAAAUAAAAUAAAAUUACAAUAAAAAAUAUCAAUUCCAUCAUUGUCGUUCGUAAUAUUUUUUUUAAUUACAAUAACAUUACUUUUUUUUAAAAUGUUGGAUUGUAAAGAUGAUACUCCCUCCGUCCACAAUUUAAAGCCCUACUUGCUCUUAAAUUUUUGUCCACAAUUUAAAGCCCUAUUAUGACUUUUGUACUUUUUUACUCCUCUUCUUUUCUUAUAUUUAGUACCAUUUGUCACUAAUGGACUCACCUUAAAACACAUUUAUCAUUUUAAUAUUCUAUAUUUACUACACUUUAUCACUAGUGGACCCACUCACAACACCUUUAUCACUUUAGUCAACUACCUUUAUCAUUUUAGUCAAUACCUUAUAUUUCAUCUGCAUCAUCUUUUUCAGUUUUCUUAGUCUCCGUACCCACACCAAAGUGGGGCUUUAAAUUGUGGACAGAGGGAGUAGUACUUUUUUAGAAUUACAAAAGGUAUCUAAUAUAUAAUUAAAUAAGCAAUUCACAAUUCUACAUCAUACAAAGAUGAAAACAAAAGAGAGUGCCUUAUCGACAAUUAACAUUACUUUUUAUUUAAUGACAACCAAUGGAAACAACUUUUGCACGAACUCAUAAAAAAGUCAACGUAUAAAAUUUCUAUAGGAAAAUUUCUUAUGUAAAAUCACAACAAAAAAUUAAUUUUUUACCGAGGGAAUUAUCCCUUGCUAACUUUUACGUCGGGUCAAGUAUCGGCUGAGUAUUAAUUUUACCGAGGGAAAAUCACUCGGUAAUUUUUCUAAAUUCACCGAGGAACAUUUUCCUCGGUAAUUUUCGGACACUUUUUAUUAAAAUAUCGAGGGAGAUUUCCCUCGGUAAUCCCUCGGUAAUUUUUUAUUUUUUAUUAAUAUUUAAUUUUUAUUUUUGACGUACCUAGUGACGACAAUCUUUUUAUCAAUAAAUCCAACCACAAUAACAUCUUUUCAUAAUCUAAACAUAAUUUUAAAUUUUUAAUUUCAUUCAACAUUGUUCAAUGUCCAACAAUAUGUCCAUAUGUAAAUAUUAUAAUAAUGUAUCAAAAGUUACGAAAUAAACUACAUCAAAGCUAAAUAUCAUAAUAAUGUAUCAAAAAGGUACUAAAUAAACUACAUCAAGGCUAAGGAUUGUCUUCUGGUAAGUCUGAACCUCCUGGGCCACUAUUCCUCGACUGCUGCCUGCUGGGACCUCAUGAACUGCUGAAACAUCUCAUUAGUUACUCGAAGUGAUUCCUCCAAUCGGAGUUUAUGUUCACGCUCCUCUUGAAGCUGCUGCUGCUCUUCAAAUCGAGCAUCAACGUGCUGUGAAUGGAUAGUCUGUAAUGUAACGCCCACGAGACUCUGUGCAAAGAUACCAGUGCCGAACAUCCUCCGCCCAAGAAAAUGCCAAAGAAAUUUAUCCGUAGAGUGUGAAACAAUUGACCUCGAUAUCAAUAUCAGUGCAAGUUUGCGCAAAUGUUUUUUUUCUCUCUCCUCAAUUAUUGGACUUUUUUGUGGAACGUGAGUUAUCUUCGUUGCUCAUUCCUACUAUAUUCCCUACUAGAAUAACCUCUCUCACACCCACACACUCUCCCUUUGAAUCGGUUUGAGCAAUUGAAACGGUUUGGUUCGGUUUAAAAAUUUAGGGGCGGUUUGGGUUCAGAUUUUUCCACUACGGUUCGUUUUCAACCCAAACUGCCCGAAUGCUCAGCCCCACAAUAAGGCCAUAGUUUGAACUUUCAACUACAAUAACCACUCUCUCUCUCCUCACACACCACACACUCUCUCUCUCCCUUUGAGAAUUGAGAUGGGGGAGGCUGCAGUGGCAUUCUUGCUGGAGCAAGUGAAGGAGGUGGUGAUAGGUUACGCCGAUCUGAUUUUCGGAGCGGAGAAUGAGUUGGAGCAGCUGAAGAGCGACCUGGCUUUACUCAAAGGUUUCCUCAAGCAGAUGGCGGAGAAGAAGAAGAAGGAAGAUCCGUUGAGGAUACUGGAGAGGCAGACGAGGGAUGCGGUGUACGCGGUCGAGGACACCAUAGACAAAUGCUUCACCAACGCCAUCGCCAAGAAAUCCUUCCACCGCUCUGUGGGUUUGAAAAAUGUGAGCCUCGCCAAGGAGGUGAGAUCUAUUAGAGAAGACAAAGUCAAACCAUUGCUUGACAAGUUUGCUACAUUCGAUUUCAAAUCUGCAGGCGUCCAAGAUUCAUUGACUGUGUCAAAAGGGGUACAUACUCAUUCUCAUCCUAUUUCCAUUUUCUUUUUACUAGCAGAGAUUACGUGCGUUCGCUCGUAAAAAAGAAUUAUUUUAAUGAAUAAAUUUUUAUGAGUGUAAAUUUAUAUUUUAUUUCAUUUUAUAGCAAUAUUUAUCAUUUUGAUGUAUUUUUUGAACCAAUUAUUGAUUAAUAUUUUAAAAGUAUAAUGUUAUUGAACUCAUAAAAUAAAAUUUAUUUAAAUAAACAUCACCUAAUUUUGUCUUCGUAUUUAUUUUAUAGGUUUCAUCUUUACAUCAUUAAUUUUAAUUCCAAAGAUUCUAGCAAAAUUAAAAUUAUAAUUCUUUGUAUUUAUUAAUUCUAAAUUAUUAAAAUUAUAUAAUAAAAAAUACUAGUAACUUAUAUGAUGAAGAGUCCUAAUGGAUGCUACUACUUAAAUAAUUAUUAAAAUAUAAAGGAUAAACCAUAAUAUAUUUAUAGAUAUAUUAUAUGUGUAAUAUAUUAAAUUACACAAUUGACAUUACAUUAAGUAUAUAUAUGAGGGACAUAAUAGACAAAUCAAAUUUUGUAAAAAAAGGCUCUUUUAUAAUAGGUAUAGAUUAUCAUUUUAAUUCUAAAAUUAAUAUGGAGCAACGAUGAGAAGUUGAGAAUGACUCCCUGUGUCCACAAACAAAAUUGACACAUUAUACACUGCAUAAAUUUUAAUAAAAAUGUAAGUAAAGUUUUUUUUAGUGAUGUAAGACUCAUUUUAAAUGUAAAUAAAAUUGAAUGGAUUCUAUUACUCUCUUCAUCUCAACAAAGUUGAGUCGUAUUUCUUUUCGUGUGGUCCCAACACACUUUCUAUUACUACAUCAUUUUUAGUUUGCUGGCUAUAUAGCCUAUAUUUGAUCUUUGUUUUUUGAAAAUAAAUAGGUUGUACAAACUUUGCUUAUGAAAAAUAUUUUCUAUGCAUGCACAAAGUCUUAUGACGGAGGAUUCAACUUGACAUCAUACACCUUAUCCUCCCUUGUUUAAAUUGGUGUUGGCGGCCAUUCUUACUUUCUGUAACAUUCACACAGGAUACACCAAUCAGACAAAACAGAGUAGUAGGAUUUGACAAGGAAGAAGCUACCAUAAGUGCCUAUCUCAAGGAAAAAACAGAUAAGCUCGAUGUUAUCUCGAUCGUGGGCAUACCUGGACAGGGGAAGACAACAUUGGCAUGGAAGAUUUAUCAGAGCGAUGAAAUCGGUUAUCAUUUCCCCAUUCGUAUCUGGGUUAACAUCUCUCAAGUGUUCAACAGCAGGGAUGUGUUCCUCGAAAUCCUGAAAAGAUUCUUCCCCAGCCAAGACACGUCCAGCCUCAACUUCAACGACUUGGCUCAAACAGUUCGCGCGUGUUUGGAGAAAGAGAAAUUCUUGUUAGUCUUAGACGACGUGUGGAGUGUCGUUGCGUGGGACAAGAUCAAGGAGGUGCUUCCAGUAGACAAUGGGGAGGCUAAAGUCCUCAUCACCACCCGAGAAACAGACGUGGGAGAGAAAUCCAGAGUCUACAAAGCUCCCCACAAUCUGAAGUUCCUAGAUAAUGAUGAAAGUUGGGAGCUCCUCCAAUACGAGGUGUUUGGUUUGGAAGACUGCCCGCCAGAACUGAGCACCGUUGGUUACGUUAUAGCCAAGAAGUGUGAUGGAGUGCCACUGACUAUAGUUGUGAUCGGAGGUAUCCUCUUCGACCAACUCACGAAAUCUCGAUCCACGGCUGCGAGUGAAUGGGAGACGGUGUCUACAAGUGUGAGUGGUGCCCUACAAGAUGACAAAACGCAGCGCAUAACAGAAGCUGUAGAGUUGAGCUACCAAAGGUUGCCAGAUGACUUGAGAGAAUGUUUUGUUUUCUUGGGUGUAUUUCCAGAAGAUUAUGAGAUUCCAGCUAAGAUGCUGUGCGGGCUGUGGAUUUCAGAAGGGUAUGUACUUCCGAGAAACGGGAAAAGCUUGGAGGAAAGCGCUGAAGAUAAUAUGAAUGAUCUCAUUUGCAGGAACUUGUUAAAGGUCGAGAAAACUAAUCACAUGGGCAAAGUUAAAACGUGCCAGGUUCAUGAUAUGAUACGUGCGUUCUGCAUAAAGAUAUCCAAGGACGAGAAUUUAUGUCACGAGAUUAAAACAUCCAAGACAGGCGCACUUGAACCUCCAGUUUCUGAGGUAAAAGACUCUCAUCGUCUUUGUUUCCGCUCCAAUCUCUCAAAGUUCCUGCAGGAAAGCCCGUGUGGUCCACACGUUCGUUCAUUUUUGUGUUUCUACGAGCGGCCUGUGGAGUUGGAGCCACAAUACAUAACAGUUAUACCAGAUGGCUUCAGAAAGCUUAGGAUUCUGGAGUCCAGGUGCAUCAUAUUCAACCAAUUUCCAGCAAAGAUUACCAAACUGAUUCAUCUUAGGUACCUCACCCUAUAUAUUGAAUCUCUGAAAAUUCUUCCAGAACCAAUCACCCAGCUAUGGAACCUACAAUCUCUUGUAGUCGAGACCAAGUCUCGUUCCAUUACAAUGAAAGCAAAUAUGUGGAGAAUGGUGCGGUUGAGGUAUCUCAAGACGAGAGCAGCCAUUGUCCUCGACAAUAAAUGGAAAGGUGAUGCAGGGCAGAACCUUCAUACGUUGAAUAGAUUGGCACCCGAAUGUUGCACGGAGGCCGUCUCCAAAAGGGCUAAAAACCUCAAGGCCUUGGGGAUUUCUGGUAAAGUGGCCAUUGUUUUUGAAAAUAAGUUCCUAGAAAACCUGCAUCAUCUGGAAAAGUUGAAGCUGGUGAAUAGUGUAACUUAUGAACAGACAUCCGAAGAUAAGCUGCACAGCCUUCCCCCACAGAAUCGUUUCCCGCCAUCUCUCAAGAGGCUGACAUUAACUAAUACAUUCCUGGGUUGGCAGCACAUGUCCACGUUGGCAACGAUCAGAAGCCUCGAGGCUCUAAAGUUGAAAGACAACGCAUUCGUUGGGCUCCCGUGGAAUCUUGGUCUUGACAGCUUUCCUAAUCUCCAACUCUUGCUGAUUUUAAACACAAAUCUAGUUCUUUGGGAGGCCUCAACUGACUCCUUUCCUAAGCUCAGGAUUCUUGUGGUUAAGAACUGUGAAAACCUCAAAGAAAUUCCAGAGUGUUUGGGAACACAUCUUGAGAAAUUGGAAAUAGAUCGCGUUCGCUUUUCUGCAGUUCAGUCCGCCAAGAAGAUCGAAGAAGCAAAGAAGGGAAAAUCAAAAGGCAAAUUUGAGUACCAUUCAAUCUCAUCGUAGGUCCUGCAUGUGAUACCAAGUGAUCGAGGCAAGUUUUAUUUUUUGGUAUCAGCAAUUUGAUUCAAUGCAUGUGAUGUGUUUCAAUGCGCAAAACAAGAGUUUCAAUAUUGUUCUUCAAUAUGGAUGUAUUGUUGGUCUUGUGGUUUAUUAGAUGAAAAAUGUUUAAGUAUCUGAUGUAUGCGAUUUAGUUGUCUAGAUUUGAAUUGUUUACCGUGAGUUUUAAUUGAUAUUGCCCAAGUUUGUUGGUAUGUUUUGUGCAAGAAUUGCAUGGCUUGCGAGUAAAGAGUUGUGGAUGCGAGAAGCUGACCAAAGACAUGAAUUUUUGUGAAGUUUUAGCUUGGAUGAUCGUACGCAGUUUAAACUAAAUAUAAAUUUGAUUUGAUUAAUUUUAGCAAAAAAAUUAACCAAAGACCACAUACACACCCCUAAUCUUUUUACGAAUCACACACACUUCCCUCAAAAAAAAAAAGUCUUAGGAUGCAUUCUCUUUGAUAGAAAAUGAUGAAAUACAUAAUAUUUUUCCAUUUUUUUUUCACUAUUUCAACUCGUUCUCUUAGUUAGAAAAUUGCACACCAUGUUAAAAUAUCACUUUUCAUAUAAUAUACAUGUCAAGUUGUUAUUUUUAUUUUUUGUUUAAAGAAGAUUAAUAAUAGUUCUCUAUGGUGGAAUAUCUAAAGUGCCAUGGGUUUUGAAUGUCUUCUAAAGAAAUUGAGUAGAAUUUGAUGCCUUUUAAUAGUGAGGCAUAAUUUAAAAGAUAAAUGAUGGAGUUGGGCCUUAACUUUUUGUAUUGGGCCGAAAUUUUGUUUAUUAUAUGAAGAAGCCCAAUUGAUAGGUAAUGCCGUAAUAGGUUAGCUGAUAAAAAUGCUUUAGAAAUUUUAUGAAUGAUAAUUAAUCAAUUCUUUUCUUUUCUUCUUUGACAACGAGAGCUCUUAAUCAGAUUCACUUCAUAGCUAAAUCAACAACAUUUUUAACCUCACAACUCUUGCAGUUCUUUGACAAUUUUUAACCAAAUCGGUGUCGAAAAUUCGAAGUUCAAUAAGUUUCAAAAAACUCCCUGGUGCUAGUCCCACUCUGGGCCUCAAAAAAACUCCAUCCCCAAAUAACUUCCCAACUUUUAUUUUCGGUCCGAGCCCUAAAAGGUGCCCGAUUUCAUGAAGAGCAUCGAGUUCCAAGUCGAAAGCACCCGCAACCGGCUCGAUGGACCGCCGCUCGUCGGCGUCGUAAUGAAACCUUCCAUUUCUUUGAUGUGAUUAAGCAAUCAACCAAUUUGAUCAAAGUCUUUAUGCGCGUUGAAAAUUAUCACAAGCUGCUUCCAAUUCAACUUUGAUUUUAAUAUUUUUCAACUACCAAAUUAAAUGAAACAGUGUUAAAUUAAAUUGAAUUUGAUGCCUUAUAAUAGUGAUCAGGCAUAAUUCAAAAGAUAAAUGAUGGAGAUGGGCCUUAAUUUUAUAUUGGGCCGAAUUUUUUUUAUUAUAUGAAGAAGCCCAAUUGGUCUAUGUUAAUUGAUAGGUAAUAGGUUAUCUGAUAAAAAUGCUUUAGAUUAGAAAUUUUAUGAAUGGUAAUUAAUGAAUUAUUUUCUUCUUUGACAACAAGAGCAGAGCUCUUAAUCAGAUUCACUUCAUAGCUAAAUCAACAUCUUUAAGUUUUCUGUAGUUUUCAUUCAAACUCACACCAAAUCAUGGAUUUUCUGUAGUUUUCAGCAAUCUUCUCAACCAAACAACUUUUAAAUUUCAACAGGGAUCGCAUCUCAACAAAUGUUCAUAUCGAUAAGUUUCUACUGAGGGGUAUCAUAAAUUUGAAAUAUGAAGCCAGAAAUUAGUUAGUAUAUUGCCAGAAUCUGAAAAUUUUAAGCUAUUAAAAACAACACAUAAACUGAUUACACAAAUAUUUAUGUCCAAUAAAAUUAAGGGUUAAUUGCCGGAAAAACCAUAUACUUUNNNNNNNNNNNNNNNNNNNNNNNNNNNNNNNNNNNNNNNNNNNNNNNNNNNNNNNNNNNNNNNNNNNNNNNNNNNNNNNNNNNNNNNNNNNNNNNNNNNNNNNNNNNNNNNNNNNNNNNNNNNNNNNNNNNNNNNNNNNNNNNNNNNNNNNNNNNNNNNNNNNNNNNNNNNNNNNNNNNNNNNNNNNNNNNNNNNNNNNNNNNNNNNNNNNNNNNNAGAAAAUAAAUAAACUGGAAUUAAAUAAAUAAAUAAACUGAAAAUUCGAAAAUAAAUAAAUAAAUUAAUUAAAAUCUGAAAAAAAAAUCAGAAAAUAAAUAAGCUUAAAAGUUCAAAUAUAAAUAAAUAAACUGAAAAAUCGAAAAUAAAUAACUAAAUUAAAAUCUGAAAUAUUAUUAUUUUUAGAAAAUAAAUAAACUGAAAAUUCUGAAAAUAAAUAAAACGGAAAUUAAUAAAUAAACUGAAAAUUCAGAAAAUAAAUAAAAUGGAAUUAAAUAAAUAAAUAAACUGAAAAUUUGAAAAUAAAUAAAUAAACUGAAAAUUCAGAAAAUAAAUAAAUAAACUGAAAAUUCGAAAAUAAAUAAAUUGGAAAUAAAUAAAUAAAUAAACUGAAAAUUUGAAAAUAAAUAAAAAAUAAAUAAACUGGAAUUAAAUAAAUAAAUAAACUGAAAAUUCGAAAAUAAAUAAAUUUAAUUAAAAUCUGAAAAAUUAUUUUUUUUAGAAAAUAAAUAAACUUAAAGUUCGAAAAUAAAUAAAUAAACUGAAAAUUCAGAAAAUAAAUAAAUAAAUAAAUAAAUAAACUGAAAAUUCGAAAAUAAAUAAAUAAAUAAACUGAAAAUUCAAAAAAUAAAUAAAAUGGAAUUAAAUAAAUAAAUAAACUAAAAAUUCGAAAAUAAAUAAACAGGAAAUAAAUAAACUGAAAAUUUGAAAAUAAAUAAACUGGAAAUAAAUAAAUGAAUAAAUAAACUGGAAUUAAAAUUUUCAGAAGAUAAAUAAAUAAAUAAACUGAAAACUGAAAAAUAAAUAAAUAAACUGAAUAUUUUAAAAUAAAUAAACUGAAAAUUCAGAAAAUAAAUAAACUGGAAAUAAAUAAAUGAAUAAAUAAACUGGAAUUAAAAUUUUCAGAAAAUAAAUAAAUAAAUAAACUGAAAAUUCGAAAAUAAAUAAACUGAAAAUUUAGAAAAUAAAUAAACUGAAAUGAAUAAAUAAACUGAAAAUUGAAAAAUAAAUAAACUGGAAUUAAAAUUUUCAGAAAAUAAAUAAAUAAAUCAACUGAAAACUGGAAAAUAAAUUUUUUAGAAAAUAAAUAAACUGAAAAUUCGAAAAUAAAUAAAUAAAUAUACUGAAAAUUACGAAAAUAAAUAAAUUGGAAAUAAAAUUUUCAGGACAUAAAUAAACUGGAAAUUUAAAAUAUCCUACUCCAUUUAAUUAACAUCAAAAUUGGAUUAAGUAGACAAGUAAUGGUAGAGUGUGGUGGGUCCAAUUGGUAAAGUGUAGUAAUUUAAAAAGUAAGGGAGGGUAUAUAAGUCCAAAAAGCAGAGUAGGUAGUUAAUUGGUGGACAAAAUUUUAGAGGCAAAUGGGUAGUUGAUUGGUGGACGGAGGGAGUAAUAAUUUAAACUAAAACAUAGAUAUUUUAAUAAUUCAAACUAAAACAUAUUUACAUCAAAUUAUAAAUAUGAUAAAAGUAUAUUUCUACUUGCAUUAGAAUUCUAUUUAUUAUCUAAUAAAAGCAAUGAAUUACUAGAUUUUCUAAAAUAAUAGAUUAUCAAAUGAAAUAACAUUAAUUACACGUAUAACGUACGUUCUUUCUGCUAGUAUAUCAAAAAUACACAUAAACAGUUUUCAGACAAAUCCAACUUACAACAAUUUUGGUUACAAACACAAUUCAACACUCAGGUUUCACAAUCCAUAAAUUCAUACAACAAUGUGGUAAUACAACAAAUGAAAUUACGGGAUAACACGACGUCUGAUCCCUUUGAUCGGCUCUCUCGUUUGCCUGAAAAUCGGUAGAUGGACAAUCUCAAACACUGUGAUUAUAAUAGGAUCAUUAAGACGUGAUAAUGCAAGGCAGACCUAUGCAAAUCCUUGUGAUAAUCUAAAUAAUUCAAAAUCGAUCAAACUGCUUGAUAAAAAUAAUGCAAACUCUCAACGUUGAGGGAACAGCCUGUGACUUAAAAUAGAACACAUAUAAUACCACUAGUUAAAGAAACAAUAUUUGUUGUCCAAUGAAAUUAACAUCAAAUCUUGAUUUCUACAACUCGAUCUAAAAUCAAGAGCACUUUAUAUGAGUUAGCAACAUCUACAGAAUGGCUUCUGCAGAGUGGAAGAGAGAAACUCAUUUUACGAGCACGAACACGCUAUCGAUUAACAUUAAAUAUGAGUUUGGAAAGGCAAUGUAAUUAAUAAAUAUUUUUAUAGUAUUUUGAUUCGAAAGUUCGAAAGUUAUUAUCCUAAUUUCCAAAUCAACCUAAGUUAUUGUCCUACAAAAACCCUCUAACUCCGACAACAUGAUAAUACAACAAUUGAAAUUAUGGGAUAACACGGCGUCUAAUAGUUUUGUUUUAUAGAUAUAUUCAAAAUUAAGUGAUUGUAAUUAAGUCAUGAUGGCAAGAGCUAAAGCCUAAAUGAGCUGAAACAAUGAAGAAUGUUACAUGUUUCACUUACUGAUGUAAAUUUACUAGCAAUUAAAACACAAUAGCAUUUCACAAACUUAAGAUAUGUAUUUGAUGUGGAAAAUGCACACACUUAUUUUUCUUAAGGGUAAUUUUAUACAUAGCCCCCAUUUUACUCACUAUAGCAAUCUAAUUUAAAAAAUAAUAAUAUUUUUUACUAUUUUGCCCUUUAACUCUUAAAUUAAUUAUCAACUAACUAACUACUUCAAUUUUGGAUUAAUAUUAAUUAACAAAGUAAAUAUCCAAUAUUUCGUAGUCUUUAAUAAUUUUCUACUUUUUUUCUUCUGAGGGAAAUCCUCUUCUACAUUCGAUAACCCUUAAUCCUUAAUCAAACGAAAAAUAAAAUAAAAACAGAAACAAAAACAAAAAUACAUCCAUCACUCCAUAGCCCCCAUUCGUAUUCGAUCUUCUUCUAAUUUCUAUGUUUUCAACUAAUUAGCAAUCGGCAAAUCCCUUUCGUACAUUUCCUUUUUCACUGAUUUAUCACUUGCUAUUCUUGUCAUACACUUUAACUGUGCAGAUAUCUAUAAAUCUCAUCAAAUAAUAACUUAAUCACCAUAACUCCAAAUUUUUGUGAAAAUAAAUACGUUAAAAAAAUAUAGCCCCACCUCCUUCUGACUAUUCUUAUAUUCUCAUGAAACAAAUUCUGAAAUUUAGUUGGAUUGCCAGAAUAAUCAUCUUUGCAGAAUCAAUUAAACAGAACAAUGCAUUGAAAAAUUUGUUCAUACGCUAUGGCUCCCGUCGAAAUCCCUAGGCCUUCUAAACUCAGCGUAAACUCUACAAUUUGGGGGCUAUGUAUAUAAUUUAUUAUUAGGAAUUUAUUUUGAGAGCUAUAAGGGUAGAUAUGUACAUUUAUAAUUAUUUAAAUAAUUUUUUAAAUUAGAGGCUAUAAAGAGUAAAAUNAAAUUACGGGAUAACACGACGUCUGAUCCCUUUGAUCGGCUCUCUCGUUUGCCUGAAAAUCGGUAGAUGGACAAUCUCAAACACUGUGAUUAUAAUAGGAUCAUUAAGACGUGAUAAUGCAAGGCAGACCUAUGCAAAUCCUUGUGAUAAUCUAAAUAAUUCAAAAUCGAUCAAACUAGUUGAUAAAAAUAAUGCAAACUCUCAACGUUGAGGGAACAACCUGUGCCUUAAAAUAGAACACAUAUAAUACCACUAGUUAAAGAAACAAUAUUUGUUGUCCAAUGAAAUUAACAUCAAAUCUUGAUUUCUACAACUCGAUCUAAAAAUCAAGAGCACUUGAUAUGAGUUAGCAACAUCUACAUGUACAAUGGCUUCUGCAGAGUGGAAGAGAGGAACCUCAUUUUUACGAGCACGAACACGCUAUUGAUUAACAUUAAAUAUGAGUUUGGAAAGGCAAUGUAAUUAAUAAAUAUUUUUUAUAGUAUUUUGAUUCGAAAGUUCGAAAGUUAUUAUCCUAAUUUCCAAAUCAACCUAAGUUAUUGUCCUAAAAAACCCUCUAACUCCGACAACAUGAUAAUACAACAAUUGAAAUUAUGGGAUAACACGGCGUCUAAUAGUUUUGUUUUAUAGAUAUAUUCAAAAUUAAGUGAUUGUAAUUAAGUCAUGAUGGCAAGAGCUAAAGCCUAAAUGAGCUGAAACAAUGAAGAAUGUUACAUGUUUCACUUACUGAUGUAAAUUUACUAGCAAUUAAAACACAAUAGCAUUUCACAAACUUAAGAUAUGUAUUUGAUGUGGAAAAUGCACACACUUAUUUUUCUUAAGGGUAAUUUUAUACAUAGCCCCCAUUUUACUCACUAUAGCAAUCUAAUUUAAAAAAUAAUAAUAUUUUUUACUAUUUUGCCCUUUAACUCUUAAAUUAAUUAUCAACUAACUAACUACUUCAAUUUUGGAGUAAUAUUAAUUAACAAAGUAAAUAUCCAAUAUUUUUCGUAGUCUUUAAUAAUUUUCUACUUUUUUUCUUCUGAGGGAAAUCCUCUUCUACAUUCGAUAACCCUUAAUCCUUAAUCAAACGAAAAACAAAAUAAAAACAGAAACAAAAACAAAAAUACAUCCAUCACUCCAUAGCCCCCAUUCGUAUUCGAUCUUCUUCUAAUUUCUAUGUUUGCAACUAAUUAGCAAUCGGCAAAUCCCUUUCGUACAUUUCCUUUUUCACUGAUUUAUCACUUGCUAUUCUUGUCAUACACUUUAAUUGUGCAGAUAUCUAUAAAUCUCAUCAAAUAAUAACUUAAUCACCGUAACUCCAAAUUUUUGUGAAAAUAAAUACGUUAAAAAAAUAUAGCCCCACCUCCUUCUGACUAUUCUUAUGCUAUUUGGUCACCGCCGUUGUAAGUUAUCUCAAUUUUGCCGGCAUCAAAGUGUGUGCUCGAUCCAAUUGGAUUGUAUUCAUAUAUUCUAAUGAAACAAAUUCUGAAAUUUAGUUGAUUGCCAGAAUAAUCAUCUUUGCAGAAUCAAUUAAUCAGAACAAUGCAUUGCAAAAUUUGUUCAUACGCUAUGGUUCCCGUCGAAAUCCCUAGGCCUUCUAAACUCAGCGUAAACUCUACAAUUUGGGGGCUAUGUAUAUAAUUUAUUAUUAGGAAUUUAUUUUGAGAGCUAUAAGGGUAGAUAUGUACAUUUAUAAUUAUUUUAAAUAAUUUUUUAAAUUAGAGGCUAUAAAGAGUAAAAUGGGGGCUGUGUUUAAAAUUACCCUUUUCUUAAUUGCCUCAGCAUCACAUAUAACAUUUUCUGUUAGUUUUACUCCUAUUACGUACAUAUUUUAUUUUAAGGUUUUUUUUUGUGUAUUAUAUACAUAUUGGGCCCAAGUCGGAAUAGAAGAAAAUUAUGUCAUGGGGAAUUCAGCCCAACUCAAAAUCUGGUUUUUGAUGUUGAAUUGUUGAGCUUAAUUUGAGUAAAUUGCAGUGUUUUAAUUGCUUCUUUGUUAUCAAUUCAAGGAAUAAAAAUGGAUUAUAUAUAGUUAGGCAAAUUUAAAAGAUAAAUGAUGGAGCUGGGCUUAUAUUUUGUAUUGGGCCGAAAAUUUAUUUUUAUAUAGAGAAGCCCAAUUAGUGUAUGUUAAUUCAUAGGUAAUAGGUUAGUUGAUAAAUGCCUUAGAUAUUUUAUUACUGCUUAAGGAAAGGUUUGUUGAUCUAUGUGCGCGGCCUUUAAAUUUCUUUAUUUAUGUGUAAUUUAUCCAAAAAAAAAAAUUUACUUCAUAGCUAAACCAACAACUCCUACGGUUACUAAUAAAAUUAACAUCAAAUCUUGAUUAAUUACUAUAACUACGAUCUAAAUACAAGAGCACUUGAUAUGAGUUAGCAACAUCUACACAAUGGCUUCGGCAGAGUGGAAGAGAGGAACCUCAUCUUACGUACGAGCACGAACACGCUAUCGAACCUCAGUUGGCUAGAAUCCGUUACUCCAACGAGUCUUAUCUGCGUCUGCUUCUAGUCUGAGAUGACGGUGAGCUUGAGGAAUCUACUCGACUUGACUCAGCUCGAUUCGUUUGCUUCUUUCUGCGUCUCCACGCGAGUUGGAUCCGUCUAGCUGCAAUUCCUCGCCAAUAAGGCGAUUCAUACCUACAAUGCAAAGAAGGCAACGAGUGCAAUAUAUGAUGCUCACAAUGCUAUGCACGAACGUGUUUGCAAGCUAACGAGCCCAAUACUUUCAAGUUAAUCGAUUCAUUUAUAGGUUAUGCAUUAUAAAGAAGUUACCUUAUGGCGCCUUGAACAAGUGAACUCCUUAAGAAUCUUGCGAAGAGAUCUUCAAAAACAGCAGCUCGUAAUACAAAGGCCUCGACGUUUGUUAAACAAGUUACUAGUAAUCUACAUACAGCAGAAACUCACCUGCGGCAGGGGAAGCAACUCUCGAUCGUCUCUUUCAUUUGCCUGAAAAUCGAUAGAUGGACAAUCUCAAACACUGUGACUAUAACAGAAACAUUAAGACGUAAUAUUGCAAAGUAGUAAGACUAACCUGUUAGGCAAGUUGCAGACUCACUUGACCUCAAAAAGAAGAUUCGACGAAAAGGUCAAAGGAAAACUUGUCUUUUAAUUCAUUGGCACAAGCGACAACUAAAGGAUUGCACUCGCGUAAAUGAAUGAUCUCUAUCGAAGAGUGGUCAUACGGCCAAUCGAGCUGUUGUAAUUUGUAGCAAUGUUGCAUGCUUAGUCUACGAAGCUCCGGGAAGCUUCCACGUUGAGGUCUCCAUCGCACCAUAUCGGUGUCUUCAAUUUGAAGUUCAAUAAGUUUCAAAAAACUCCCCGGUGUUAUGUCCCACUCUGGGCCUCGAAAUGCAUAUUGGUAUAACAUGAGAAUCUCGAGAUUUGGCAGCAGCGAACCAAUAUCAUUCAUAUAAUUCCAAGGAUACCCCCUAACCCAGACAACAAUAACACUGUGAGACUUGAUGGAAACAUUGAAAGAGGAAUCGUAUUACACUCAUACUUUAUCUCGGGAUUAUUAACCCAAUAUGAGAGUUUCUCUAGAUUCUGGAGUUGGGAGAUAUAACCCAAGCAGCUCAAUGGGUUUCUUUCAUCAUCAUCAUCAUCACAAGGCUUCAACUCCACUUCAAUCAUUAAUCUCUUUAAAUUAGGAAUUCUUUUGAGAACUUCCCUUGUAAAACUGUUUGCACUCACACAAUUAAGUGUCAUGAGUUUGUUCAAGGCAGCAUCAUCCGUAUUAGGGGUUGGUAUUCCCUUCCCCAAAUCUAAAGAUGUUCUAGUUCUUGCAUGUCCCAAAUUUGCACAGGCAUAUAAGGCUGAACUCCACGCUUUUUAAUGUAUAUAUAUGGAUUGAUAAUCAAGAAUUGAAGGUGAAAAAGGUUGGAUAUGGAAGGAGGGAGUUCCCCGUUGCAUUUUAGGGAAAUGUAACGCAGACAAACAAGUUUCAAAAUUUCAAUUGGGAUAUCAUAAAAUCGAACUCCAAAAGCAGCUAGCACCCUGAGCAACUUAAAACCCAUGGCAUGUAUUGGGAUUGGAUAAGGGUGAUCGGGACCAUGACAAAGGAGAGAACGGGCAGUGGAUGCACAAUCACUUUUUAUUAAAUCACACACUUGUUUGAAGCAGAAUAAGUUGUUGUAAUGGGCACACAUGCGACGCUGGUCUUUAAUAACAUCAUCACAACCUCGUAAGACAUGUAGAAACUUGAUCCUACUAGCUUCUACCUUACAUAAGUGCUGCCAACAAGAAUGCACGCGAUACUUUCUCUCUGAAAACCACGAAAUUUUUGUGUCGAGAAGAAGAUGAUACGACUCAGAAAGCUUUUCCCAGAAACCUUCAAAACUUUUUUCAAAAUUCAGUUCAAGAAAGCCCUCAGCACUCAACAGAUGAAUGAUAUCGAAUGGUCUUUGAUCAGCAUAAGGAGGGAAAGCUCCCAUAUAGAGAAAAGGCAUUUUAAAAUGUUGGGGUAAGUAGUCAUAGCUUGGGAAAAGUACCUCUGAUAUUUGAUUAUAUGCUUCCACAAAGAGUGAACUAUGUUGUUUGAGUACCUCAGUCCAAUAUUCUGGGGUCUUGUCGGCUUUUGAUAGGAGCUCUGCAACCUUGACUAUCAUAAGAGGAAGACCUUCACAUUUCUUGGCAAUCUUCUCUCCCAGUUCCUCAAGUUGGAGAGGGAAACCUUCUUCACUAAACACCUUCUCACCAAACACCUUCUCACCAAGUAAUUUCUUACUAUCUUCUUCAUUCAACAAGCUCAUUCUUAUGCCCCUAUGCUGCGUGAAUUUUAUAGCUUGUCUACUUGUAAGUAUUAUCCAAUCCCUCCAACUAUAUUAUUUUCUUUCAAGCAAUUUAUCACGUGUCUUAUUGCUUGUACCUCCCAAACAUCAUCCAACAACGAUGAGACAUUUCUUAUCCUGCAAUAAUUUUUCUUUCAAUAGUCCAACUAAUUCCUCCUCCUCACCAUCAUCUCCUUGGGCAAGCAUUCGGUAAAGCGUUGGGAUCCACUUGAGCUAGAACGCAGCGUAAUAGUUCAUUGGGCUCGCAUUUUCUGCCCACUUUGACCCAUGCUCGAAACUCAAAAUGGCUCCGAAUUGAUGGAUCUUCAAAAAAUGUUUAGCAAGAUUGUCUUUCCAACGCCGCCAUCCCAAAAUCGAAUAGUGUUUAUCUUCAAGAAGAUUAUCUCUGGCGUCUUGAAAUGCAUAAGAUUUUCCAACCAUCUUUGAGUUGAUUCCACCAAAAUCGAUUCUUGAGGAAAUAGGCUCGCCUUCUUCUUCAGCCAUAUUCUCCAUUUCAUUAGUGUACUCUUCCUCCAUCAUCUUCACCAUCUCGACGAAGCAAUCAACAUGGUGUUGAAGACUCUGCAGAUCUACAGAGAAUGACAAGUUGUGUCUCUCGCUUUGGAGUUGUGGAAGAAUCUGAGGUAAGAUAUGGGAUUCGAGUAAAUCUUCGAAUUCCCAAACUGCCUCUUUUAUGAGUUCAUCCAAAGCAUUCACCUCUGUCCUGAUCUUGCUGCAGCUGGUCUCGUCCAAUUUGAGCAGAACUUUCUGCAAGCGAUCCAUCUGGUCGUGGAGAGUGGGAAACGAGAGAAAUGCGAGACGAUUGUAGAAUACGCAGAAUCGUAUUCUUGAGAGAAGCCGCCGCACCAAAAGCCGCCAUACCCAAAUUAUCAGCUGAGAUACGAUAUAUUGUUGAAAUGAAAUUGCUUAGCUCUGCAAUUUUCCUCCAAAAUGAAGCUUAAACUAAACUGCAAUUAGCCCAGAAGAAAAUUCAGUCGCCUAAGAAAGAAACGGAGAAGAAGAAGAAGGAAUUAUAAUAAGCAAACGCAGACGAAACAAAUGAUAGAUCUCAGUUCUCUGCUUGGUAGUAUUUAUAAUUAAGAUAAGAUUGACCCUCACACCAUAAUUACCCUAGGGUUGAGUUUCUACGAUGAUACGAUGUUUGGUUGUAGUUUAGGCAUGAUUUCAGAAAACAUUAAAUACAAAACGAAGAAUUUUGAAAACAUGGAGAGAAAGUAUAGUUCGUUAGGACUUCCUAUUUAAUUUUUUAAUUUACUUCAAUUAAUUUAUUUGUAUUCCUCAGUCAUCCCGCAACUAAUUACAGAAAAAGUUACUAUAUCGAUUCUUACCUUGUAAAUAGUGUAAGGUGAUUAGUAUGAUGGAAUGGAAUAAGAGUGGAAUGGAAUGACCGAAUGAGGGUGGGAAAUGAAUGACAAAUUUUAGGUGAUUUCUAUGCUUGUUAUGCACAAGGAAUACCAAAUGAAUGGAAUUGUCAUUUUUUGUUUAAUUCAAUUUCUAUGAUGAUUCUAAAAAAAAAUCAUAUGAUUGGUAGCUAGAAAUAAAGUUUAGGAAUUUAAUUAUUUUAUUUUUUUAAAAGUAUUUUUUAUUGAAAAAAAUACUUUUUAUAUUUUGAGUAAUAAUAAUAAUAAUAAUUCAUGUUUUAUACAAAUAUACAUGUCAAAACUUAAAUUUAGAAGGAUUAAGAAUGGAAUGGAAUGGCUAAUACCAUGAUAGGUGAUUCUCAUAGAUGUAGGAAUAGUGAUUCCUACAAAACAGUGACGGAUCCAAGAUUUUUGAUUUGGGGUACUAAAUUUAUACGAUGUCUGAAAUAUUUGUAUGAGGGUUCGGGCGAGAGCUCCCGAGCUAAUUAUUUUAAACAUUCCCUACAAUUCAUUUUUAUAUUCAAGUAGAAUUUUAAUGAACUUAUAAUUAGAAUCGAUCACUUAAUAUAAUAAAUAGUUGUUCGCAUUCAUCCACCGACAAGUACAUUGAAAGCAUAUAAAGACAUACUAUUACGCAUUUAAAAAAAAUAUUUCAUAUUGUAAAAAAAUAAACUAAUUCAUUAUUAAUAGUUCAUAAUUUUACUUUGACUCGAUCAUUACUCAAAUUCAAUACUAAAAAUUAUCUAAGAAAUGAAAAUGAGUAAAAAAUAAUACAAAUUUAACAAACUAAUAUAACAAAUCACUAUAAAAUAUUAAAUAAUUAACAUGAAUAUUAUAAUUAUUAAAAUGAUAUAUUAUAUUUUUUCUUGUAUUAUAUAUAUAUUAGAAAAAUAUAAGAAAUUUGGGGGUACACCUUGCACCAAUGUGGCUCCGCCACUGCUACACAAAGAACAUACCAAGCAAAUGAAUGGAACGAAGGUAGGAAUCAUUAUUCCAUUCCGACUUCCAUUACAUCAUACCAAUCACUUAGGUCCCUUUAUCAUUAUUGUUGAGACAAUCGCCGAAAAUCACAAGAACACACAACGCAAUAAACGAACAAGAAACGCAAAGUAAGAACGACGCAAAGAGUUAUAAAUCACCUAACAAAGAAACGAAGAAGGAAUUAUAAUAAGCAAAUGGAGUUGAAAGAAAUUAUAGAUCUCAGCUCUCUGCUGUACCUCUCGUGGAGGAGUUGGCGCAAGUCGACGGCGGCGGCGGCAGUUGGUUUUCAAUACCAUAAGCACCCUUCCUCUCUGUGCACGAAAAUUGUAAUGUGAAUUUUAGUAAAUGAUUUGAAAAGAUGUGUGUGUAAUGUAAUGGUAAAAUGGAUCAAAGUUGAUGAUUUUGAAGGAAAUUGUGUGGAAGAAUAGUUGCGAGAAACUAAGCAACCGAAGACUAGUUAUGAUGAUUGAGCAAUCAACUAGUUGAUCAAGUCUAUAUGCGCGUUGAGCAUUAAUCAACUCCAAUUAAUGCUCAGAAACGUAUUACGAUUGGAUUCUUUCCUUGAGCUGUACUGAUAAGAUAAGAUUGAGUCCCUUAAUACGACGUCAUAAAAAGUGUAUCAUUUUUUCCAUUUUCGUUCGUCCAUUUUAUGGUGUAAUACUACAUCCAUAACUACAUAAAAGAGGUAAUUUGAUACGAAUAUUUUCGCUUUGGUUAUACAAUAUUUAUUCGCAAAUUAUUAGGUACACCCGGUCGCAUAGUAUGUGACCGGUUUGAAAGUUUACAUUUAUUCACAAUAAUGUUUAUUUAUAGGGGUUUUUGCAAAUAAAAUCACGAACAAUUUUGAAUUUGUAAUUUUAACGCGACUUUUGAAGUGUGGCGAAUUAAAUCAUAACCUUUUUAAUUUUUGCAAUUUCAUCCCCUCAAUUUUUUCCGGCCACGUACCGGAGUGAUGAGUUGGAGCUUAUGUGGAUUAUUUUUUUUCCACGUAAUUAAUUUCUGACUAAGAUUAAAAUAAAAUCAAAACCUAAUUCUUUUAUAUAUUUUUCUUCUUUUUCGUCGAACUUAUUUCAGUAUCCCUCAUUUUCCUUAAACUAGUACGCCCUCCCGUACGAUGCACGGCCAGUAUUAUUUAUUUAUUUUUAAAAUUUGAAAUUAUGUAAAAAAUAUUUGUAUUAUUUAUGAAUCAAAUUAAUUAAUAACAAAAAAUAUAUUAAUUUAAAUAUUAGUAUUUGAUUUAAAAUAGUGUAUAGUAAUAAUUUUAUCAACUUAAUGAGUAGGAGUAUAAUAUUAAGUUCAAUGAGUAUUGUAUAUAAUAAUUAAAUUUACCGAAAUUUUUUGUUAAUGAUUAUUAUUUUUUAUUAAAAUUAAAAUUAAUAAAUACUUUUAUAAUAUUGUCUCGAUUUUUGUUGAUAAUUGUGCAUUAUAUUUUUAAUUAAUAUUUUUAAUUUAAAUAUUUUUAUGUAUGCUUUGAUAAAAUAAUUCAACAAAUAAAUAUUUAAGUAUUAUUUUUUAAUCAAAAGAUAAGAGAAGAUAUAUAAAUUUUGUAGGAGAAAGAGAUACAAAUAGAAAUAAUAUAAUAACAAAAUAAGGAGAAAGAGAAAAAAAUAAAGAAUAUUGUAAAAGAGAUAGGAGAGAGAAAAAAUAAUCACUUUAAAAGUUUAAAUUAUAAUAAAUUAUUUAUUUCAAAUUCAUAUUUAAUGAAUUUUAAAUCAAAUUGAAGAUCUUGUCAUGAUCUUUAACUUAAGAUACACAUCAAAUAUAUUUUUAUAAAAGACGAAAAAGAAGUAAAAUAAAAGAAUUAGGUUUUGAUUUUGUUUUAAUCUUAUAUAGUCAACAAUUUAAUCUUAGUUAGAAAUUAAUUACGAGGAAAAAAAUAAUCCACAUAAGCUCCAACUCAUUACUCCGAUGGCCGGAAAAAAUUGAGGAGACGAAAUUGCAAAAAUGGAAAAGAUUAUGAUUUAAUUCGCCACACUUCAAAAGUCACGUUAAAAUUGCAAAUUUAAAAUUGUUCAUGAUUUUAUUUGCAAAAAGUAGCAAUUAAAUCGCUAACAUGAACAUCUCUCUAUUGCGUUUAGCCUCAUAUACUUAAUAUUGAAAUAAUCAGGUUUUUGAUGUUUCAAUUUUGAUGUAAUUAAACUCCUUUUUUUAAUGCUCGUUAAACAUCGUCUAUUUUAUUUCCCCGUAAUAUAUAAAAAUAUUCCUCCAAACAGGCUCAAAUUCUUAUUUCUUCUUCCUCAAUCUAAUUCUCUUUAUCUCAAUCUCCCUCACCAAUACAUACAAACAAAUAGCGUAGCCCUAGCUGUCGCCUCUUUCAAAAUCCGACAAGCAUAGCUGUCAAGACAGCCACCGUGUGCGCUGCGACUCUACUGCUACAAAAACAUGAUGACGCCAACAACCUUGUUUCCCUUUUUUUUUAUUCGGCAAGCGACAACAGUAGCACCACCAUCUUCCCUCUCCCCCCUCCCCUCAUAUCAUUUUCCAUCUCUCUCAUUGGAACAGGCAUCAGCCGCUGCUGUGAGCCAAGUUAUUCCCAAUUUCAUGUUUCCACAAUCAGACUGCUGCCAUUAAGGGCUGUAAAUUCGGGUACCCGUGGGUACCCUACCCGCAAAAUACGGGUACCUGCGGGACAAAAUCGUCCAAAACCCCCACCCUCACCCGUCCCGUCUACAUGCUGCGGGUACCCAAAUACCCACAACGGGUAUCCGCUGCGGGUAUGAGUUUACCCUCAUUUUCCGCAAGUUCUUGAUUGUUUUUAAUUUUGCAGGUUUUUUUUUUUGUUCCGCUGGAGGGUAUUUUAUCCCGCCGGAGGGUAUUCUUGUCCCGCAAUGUGUGGGUACCCUCUUUACCCACGGGUAUUUUCAACAAAACUCUCGUUUAAUUCCCGAAUCCCGACUGUCUCUCUGUAGUGAGGAGUGAAUUGACUAGGGCUUAAGGAGUUAUAAAAAUUAUUUAUUUAAUUAAAAAUUACAUUCAGGUAUGCGGGUACCCGCGGGUAUCAAAUACCCACAGUUUUUGGGAAAACAAUACCCGCACUCGACCCUCUUCUUUGAUUUUGCGGGUAUCGGGGCGGGUGAGGGUAAUACCCGAUACCCGCAACCCGAAUUUACACCCCUAGCUGCCAUCACUGCUUCUUCUUUCAUCUCACUCUAUAUAACCUAGAUAAGUGCAACCUUACACUCCAGUCGAUCAUAAUGAAAGACAAUCAUUAAACUACUUAGAUCAUGAUUAAGGAAAGAUAAGUUGUGAUCAUUAAUUUUAUAGCAACAAAAAUGUCGCAAUUAACACGAUGUAAUCGUAUUAUAAACAACAAAAUUGUAUCAUUUCCACAAGGACUAAUAGGUGAAAAUACUCUAAUUAAUCCUAAUAACUCUCAAGUAAUAUUGAGACAAUCAGAAAGAUGUGGAGAAGAAAAUAACUAAACUCAACAUAGAGCAAAUAAAAACAUAUGAAUAAAUCAAAUAUAUAAAAGACUGAUCCUAGGGAUGUUAUUUUGUUAAUCAAGUUCACACAAUUAACCUAUUAAUCAUAAUUACCAAUUUAAUUCAGUCCUGGUGAGAGAUCACAUAAAUAACCAUACUGUCUCGCUAGAGCAGUUUAUGAUAGUAGAUUAGUAAAUUCUCAUCUCCGUUAGGUUUCAAGAAAAUCUACUAACUCCCAAAAGCUCACAAGAAUAGCUCUCUAUGAUCCACCUAUCUCCGCUAAGUCUCAAGGUUAAAAUCAUAUCAUACAUUCCUAAAGCCGCUAAACAUUUAUCUCCGCUAGGUCUCAAACCGAAUAGCUAAACAUGAAAAUUAUUGGCCAGAUAAUCCACAAGAAAUCAAGCACCAGAAACAAUGAAUCAGAAACUGGAAUGCAACAAGGCAUCAAAAAUCAAUCAUAUAAAUCUAAUCAACUAUUUACAAACCCUAUAAUCAGAUAGGAAAACUAGCUAGACAUCAUAAAAGAAAGUAAAAACAUACUCCCUUCGUCCCAUUAUAAAUCAUCAAAUUGAGAAAAUAUCAUAAUUCACAAGAUAAAACAAUAUAAGCACAAAACAACUAUCAAACACUCAAUUUUCUAUAAAAUUGACAUCAUAAUAACAUUAACAAUCAUGGAAAAGUGAGUGUUAUCAGGAUGUUUACUAAUAUUCUUAUUUCUGUAUUGUUUCAAAAGUUGUGUGCUACGUUGAGUUUCCUGUUCAAAACAAAAUUAUAUGCUUAUCUUCUCUUGUUUUGGUUUGAUACAGAAGAAAUGAGCCCACUUUUAUUAUGGAGAAAUCUGAUUAUAUUAUCAUAUCUUUGGAUUCCUAUAAAAAAUCGGUUCCACUUGGCCUGUGAAUCUUGCUUGACGAACCACUAGUGGUUGGUGCAAUGAAAAACUGAAACGCCGGCAACAACCUCGAUUCGUCGUUCUUUGUAUCUAGGUGCGACGCCGUGGAAGAGGCUAAAUUGGGAAAACUUGCCUAAAUGUGGUGGGUCCCACCAUAUAUUAUGGGAAAAAAAACAGACGACGUUUAACGGGGUGUUAGGAGGAGGAGUUUAAUUUCACCAAAAUUGGGACAUCGGGGGCCUGAUUGAUCCAAUGUCAAGUAUAGAAGGCUAAACAUCAUAGAGGUGUCCAUGUUAGGAGUUUAAAGGCCACUUUUCCGUUUAAAAUUUAAAUUAGGGUAAAUAUCAAUUCAAACCUUAAACUAUUUUCACAUAAUCAAUUAUAUUAUGACCUACUCCUUCCGUCCCACGAAUCUUGACACGUAUUCCUUUUUGGGCCGUCCCACGAAUCUUGACACAUUUCGAAUAAGGUAAUAAUUAAUCCAAAAAUAUUACAUUAUCUCUCCUACUUUAUCACUUUAUUACAUUCUCUCUCUUACUUUUAUCAAUUUAUUAGCUUCUGUCUCAUACUUUAUCAUUUUUAUACUUUAUUAUCUACACACUUAAAACACUUAAUUUAACUCCUUAUUUUUCGUGCCGAAACCAAACGUGUCAAGAUUCGUGGGACGAAUGGAGUAUUUAAAAAUAGUGUUAAUGGUGGAAUCUACCCACUUUCAUAACGCGUCUAUCCAAACUACCCACCCAAAUAAUAUGUCUAUUAAAACUACCCAAAAGCAAAAGUGAUGGUGAUAGGAAAAGUGUAAGAUAUGGGGCUUACUUGGAUUUUUGUAAUGGUGACAUGAGGCUUGCUUGGAUUUUUGUAAAAGUUCUUACACAAGUACAAUUGUUUAAGAAAAGCGUAAGAUAUGUGGUUGAAAAUUGUACAAAAUCUGAUAAAGAGACAAUAAAUGCUAACUCGUGUCACUUUCUAACAUUAGGGUUAUACUGUAGGUUUGCAAAUUUAAAAAAAAAUAAGGGCACGUUUGUGUGUUAUAAAAUAUUUCUACGAAGGCUAAAAAAAUUCGACUUGUGUCGGCUGCUAGGGGUUAUCGACGGCUAGUUUAUUCGUUUGCUUCAGAUUUUUUUUCUUCAUAAUACCCAUAAAUUCGAUUUUUAGCCUUCUUAUUAAUGUUUUAUUAUAACAUAUAUGUACCGUUAUUUUGAUGAUUUAUUUUAAUGUUAAGUUUUAUUUUUUUUAUAGUAUAAGAAGUACACAUAGAUGUGAAAUAUGAGAGAUAGUAAAUCUGCCAAAAUUUAGAUUAUAGUGGGGGUAAUAAUACUCACUUUAUGCAUGACUUGAUUGCACAUAAAAUAAUAAACAGUUUUCGAUAAAAAAAACUUCGAAACUCAUAUAUUAUGAACAAUACAAUAUUUCUGAACUUACCACACAACUAGCCAUCCAAAAAUCUUAACCAGCGCCAAUUUGUCACAUGCGGCUAGUGACGGCGACUACGAGUUAUGGGCGACUAGUAGUUUUAUUGUUAGUUGUAGCAUAUUUUUCUAUCUCAUAAUAUAUACUCCCUCCGUCCCAUUAUUGAAGACCUACUUUCCUUAUUGGGGUGUCCCAAUAAUAAAGACUCAUUUCCAAAUAAGGAAAGAAUUAGCCCUUAAAAUACACUAAUUAAGUUAACCUUAAUUACACUAUAAAUAAGAAACAAUAAAAAAACCCUUUAUCAUUCCUACUCUCUCGGCCUCUCCGCCUCUCUCUCUCUGAAACUCUCUCUGCCUCUCCGCCUCUCUCACUCUCUGAAACCCUAGAAUUCAUCCUUCCUCAUCCUCCAUCCGCGCCGCCCUCCUUCAAAAACCCGCGAUUCCGCCGUCCUCACUCUGUAUCCGCGCUGCCCUCCUCCGAAACCCUAAUCGGCCUCCGUCCUCAGCCUCCAUCCGCGCCGCCCUCCUUCAAAACCCCAAUCGGCCUCUCCGUCUCUCUCUGGAACCCUAGAUAAACUCAUUAUGGCCGAUAAUAGCAGUUGGUUGGCAUAUUUGAACUCUGAAUUCGUCCCCGAUUCGGAGGACGAAGAAUUCUUUGCUAAUAUACCUCCGUUGCCGUCACCGCCGUCUGGUUUUUUCUAUGAUGGGAGCGGCGGAGUCCAGGGUUCUGAGGAGUCCACCGGUGGUGCUUUGAUGGAGGAUUCGAGGGUUCCAAGGAGUCCGAUCCGGCGGCCCAUCUAUCGCCGCCCCUCUACCGCGAUGAAGCCGCAAGAUUCGGAUCUAGACGCUCUCCUAUGCACGGAGAGUUGGGAUGACGUUGUGCGCGAGCGGGAAGAGGUCGUCAGCGGCGACUGGUGGCUCCGGUGCUCUCCCUUGUUGCGAAGGAUGGUCUAUACCAUGUUUCCGGAAUUGAAAGGGUGAGAUCUUUCUUUGUUGUUGCGAUAUUUGUGAUCGUAUAUGCGUUGUUGGUAUGAGGGGUGUGACCCUCUGUGUUGUUUCCAUGAGUGCGAUUGUGGUAGAUGGACUGAAUGCUGAGAUGAUGAAGUUGCUGCUCAUUUUUUUUCCCCUAAAAUGCUAAGAAUCUAUGAUUAAAACUAUGAAAAAAUGAGACUGUGGGCUGUGUCCCCAUUUGGUUUAUUGAUGGUUGCUUCCCUGGUUUCCUCUUGUGACUAAUUGUUUGUGAUUGCAUAUGGUGUGUGCCCUAGUUCAAGAAUUGUGCGUAAUUGUAUUGUGUAUGUGGGCAGUGUCCCUCUUGUUUGAGUGUUAUUGCUGGUAUGAGGGCAGUGUCCCUCUUGUUUGAGUGUUAUUGCUGGUAUGAGGGCUGUGUCCCUCUUGUUUGAGUGUUAUUGUUGGUAUGAGGGCUGUGUCCCUCUUGUUUGAGUGUUAUUGCUGGUAUGAGGGCUGUGUCCCUCUUGUUUGUCCUGCCAAAAACUGAUCUGCACAAAAAACUGAAAACAACAUCUUUAGAAGCAUUCAUAUGCAUUAAACUGAAAACAACAUCUUUAUAAGCAUUCCUUGCACACAAGCUUUACAAAAACUAUGCAUUCCUUGCACUAUAGCUUUACAAAAACUAUGCAUUCCUAUAGCAUUGUUUGAGCUUUACAAAAACUAUGCAUUCCUAUAGCAUUCCUAUAGCUUUACAAAAACUAUGCAUUCACACAAGCUUUACAAAAACUAUGCAUUUACUCUUGCAUAUGUUGCUAAGUGGAGGCAGUCUCAAUCAUGCUCAAUUGAUUGAAGGCUGCCUCCAUUGCUCCAUAUGCAUCAUCAUGUAAUCCCAAUUGCUCCUUCAGUUGGUCUAUGCCUUCAACAACUCCUUUUUCAAUCAAAUAUCCAAUGCACUCUUCCACAAGUUCUUUUGGUACUUCUAAUGACAUUGGAAGUGCACCUUGCCUUGAAAGCACUCCUUUCUUCAUGUGUGGCAGCUUAUAACAGUUUUGCCCUCUUACUUUCAUGAUUUCAAUUAGACAUCCUUGUAGGCUCAAGAAAACUGCAUUUAAAGUAUGAGGACUUAGCUCCUCGAAUGAUUUUUCAACUGCUUGUACUAGCUCAUGCUCAGUUGUGGCCAUUGAUUGUACUUGCAAGCUCUGAAUGGCCCUAAACCAACCCAAGUCAUUGAUGUUGGUGUCUGGGCUAUUUGGAGGUUGAUGUAUAAUCUUGAUAUCAAAUCCAUUGGCUGUUGCAGCAGCUCUCCAAUCUGGAUCAUUGUCCUUAAUAUGUGGCCUUGCAUUAUCUUGCUGUAUAUAUAUAGUUUUGCUUGCAAAUUGAGGCCAUUUGUCCCAAAUUGCAGGAAUUAACUGUAUAUAAAGGCAAUAAACUGUAAUUAACUGUAUAUAAAGGCAAUAAACUGUAAUGAACUGGAAUGAACUGGAAUGAACUUCAAUUAACUGGAUUUAGGUACAUUUGAAUGCAAAUAUUUGCUACAUUUGGCUAUACCUUGGAGAUAUAGCAGGCCUUCAUCACUUCUUUAGUGAUGGAUUGGAUUUGCUUCUCCUCCAUUGUUCCAGCCAGCCUGUUCUUGCUUGUUCUCUUGGCUGGUACCAUCUCUGUGAAAGGAAAAAUCCCUAUCUUGCCAUCGAAUAACACACUCCCAUCUUCAUUAAAUAGAGGUCUGCCCACUGCACAACUAAACAUAACUUUUUUGAUAAACUUCUUACUCUUGCAAGUGCGAUGUGGAUCAGUUUCCUCUGGAGUUAAGUAAAAUUUGUGGUUUGCUUUGGUGAUGUAGAACCACUUCUCAUCAAUGUGCACUACAUUGUGCAUAUUCUUGAACUUUAGGACAUUGCAUAUCCUAUCAUAUUCAAUUUGUUCAAGAGAGAACCGUAGCCUCAAUAACUUGUUGGGAGCCGUCAAAUCGGGUCGGAUAGCACUUGAAUGAGCUCUGAUCAGCCCCUUUGAGAUCCAUCUGCCCACUGUACUCUUCGAGCAAUUAAUACCUGUUGCUAGCCUUCGAAUGGUUCCCCUUUUAUGCAACUCUAGACUAGAUAUGAGUUCUAAAUCUAUUUGCACUCUUUUUCUUCUACAUUUGUUGAUUUUUUUGCUUUGAACGGAUACUAAUUGACCUUGUGCUUGCUCCUUUUUUGCAGCCUGCCAUAAACGCGAGACGGAGCUCCGACAACACCCCCAUUUCGCCAUGGCAGCAGUGAUAGUCCCAUGGUGGAGCUUCCCAUCUGUUGAAUUUUGAAGAAGAAAGAAGGCCAUGGCUUGCCUUUCCUCACUUGUUAAAUCCUUCCUUCUACCCAUCUUUUUUUUCUUUUUUUGGUGUUUGGAGCUUCUAAGAUCACAGCUUUUGUGUGAAAAACUGAUCUGGAAGAACCGCACCUUUAUAAGGUUGUAAUCCCAAAUUUUGGUGGGAAAUGAAACUAAUGAAUGAAAAUGAAGGUUGGCGCCCAUUUUUGUUUUACACUGCUCAGCCUACACUUUUUAAUGUUGUUUCAAUUGCUCAAUAAAUGAACUGUAGGAUUAAUAAAAAAACAAUAAAAAUAAAUAAUCUGGAUUAAAAAAAAUAAUUAAAUUAAAUGAAUUAAAAUUUUCGAAUUUGUUGGAAAUUAAAUUCAAAAUUGAAGUAAAGCAUUAAAUAGAAAGAAUCCAAAAUUAAUCACCUACACUAAUAGUGGUGGGCCACAACACUUUAACAACUAAUCUGCCUCUCCUUAAUCUCCGUGCCCAAAAGACCUAUGUCUUAAAUAAUGGGACGGAGGGAGUAAUUUUUAUAUUUUAAAUCUAAUAUUUACAUAAUAUAGUAUCAAAUUAAAGCUCUUGUCAUGAUCUUUAAUUUGAUAUGCAUAUCAAAUAUUUUAUAAUUAAUCAAAUUUCACAAUUUUAGAAAAUAAAUAAAAUAGAAAAGUAAAAUAGUUAAAAAAAAAGAUGUAUAGCUUAUAAAUAAACUUUUAAUUUUAUUAUAAUCACAAAUUUGCCCCCUCAAUUUGUUUUUUUUAUUUUUCUAAAAAAAAUUCUCGCCACCCCCACCACAUCCCACUAACCCCCCUCCCCCCACCUCCCAAUUUUAUAAGGGUAAAUUUGGUUUAAAACAAUAAUAACUUUUCAAAUUUUGAUUUUUCCCACAACUUUCAUUCUUGUUUCAAAAUACAUAAUAAAUCACUUUUUUUGGAAUUUCCCAUAGUGUGAUUUUUUGGCGAAUUUUUUAAAUUACGUGGUGCCGAACUUGAAUGAUGUGGCGUAUUGAAGGGUUAAGUACUACUUUCCCCCUCAACGUUGACACCCGUAUCGCCUUUAACAACCUAACGUCAGGGUUGAUGUUGUUUACUACUUCAAGGCUUGCCUAUCUUCUAUUGUCUCCCCCUUUAGUCAAAGUUCUAGGUGCAUCUCAUUAGGUCUUUUAUGGGUUGUAACGUGGCUUAAGGCAUAAGGUGAGAAUUUUUGGUACGAGGCUAAGGUCAUUCUGAACUUCAUUCUGGGCAACAGACUUCCCAGAUUUUUAAGAUCCCUGCCUAUUCUUGCGGGCAUAAGCACAUACUGACCAAUACAUUAACUCUUUUUUUUUUUAUUUCUUUUUCUUUUUCUGGACUUUUUCUCUAUUUUGGCAUUAGAUGUCCCAUUUUGCAAUUUUUUGCACUAGUCCUGCCCAUAGGAUCCACUACACUAUCUCCCCUUCUUUUGCCCUUAAGUUCAGUUUGACCGGGACAACUCAAAUCUAGGCAAAUUUAUAAGUGAAUUUAAAUGAAUUAUUAAGCUCAAAAGGGUUUGCAAGUGAUAGAUGUAGGGUUAGUCAGUUUGACUUUGUGGGCUAAAGAAAGAAUUGCUUAAAUCAUUUAACACACCUAGACUAUGUACACAGGGUUCGACUAAGAAUCAAGGCAAGUUCUAGCAUUACCCUAGUCAAGAUGUCAAUUUUCACACAAGAAAGAAAAAGCUGUUAUGGGCAUGAGACAGCGUAUAUCAAAGUUCAAAACCUCACAAGGUAUGCCCACAUCUCUAUCCAUCGUCCUCAACUACAUACGGCAUGCAUUGAAAUUCAAAUCUCAAACUACUUGCAACAACAAACUCAGAAUAUAAUCAUGCAUAUUUGAUUGCAAAUCGAAAGGCUAACCACAGGACAAAGAAACGACGCUCGGCCCACUCCCACACACACACUUUGCCUUGGGCAAAGUAGGUGUGUAGAGGGGGUCGAAAAACAGACUCAAAACGAAAACGAAAGGAAACAAAGACCAAGGGAGGGUUAUGCCUAGAACAGAGUUCAGGU
rnacentral:lncRNA from 1 species